rnacentral:lncRNA from 1 species
CUCAUUUGUGUUGCCUGUAAGCCCUCCAGAAGAGCUAGCUCCUGCACCCGGCUGCGCUACUCCUCCAGUCCCAUUCUCUAUAUCAUCCUCCAUUAACCAUCUACUGAACUCUUCCACACUUCUUCCAAGUGGGUGACCCAUUCUAUCCGCUGCUUGUGUCGUUCCUGCAUCUCCUGCCACAUUGUCGACUUCAACAUGUAAGCUAUCUAUCCUUUCUUCGAGCUCCUUGACGGAAAGAGCUUCUUCUUGUUGUGCCCCAUCAUUGCUUGACGUUUCUGUGAUUCUAUGGUUCUUUUCUGGAGGGCCAUCAACAGCAGCGAACGCUGCUUCUCGAACCAGUUCUGGCACUUUGUCACAAAUUGUAGUUCCACGCCUUGGAAUUCCUGACCAAUGAAACUUGAACCUGGUAAUCGGAAUUAGCUUGGAGAAUACAUGCCCACAAAACUUACACCGCCUACUAUCAUCAGGCAUCUCCUCAACAUGCUCCCAAAAUGAACCCUUUGGCAGAACCAUUUUCUCCUUUUCUUCUGUGGCCUGCAGAGGGGAAAAUAACAAAUUCAUUUAUUUGGAGACAAUACUGAAAUAAGGAUUACAUUCCAUGGAGAAUUUGGUAUGAACUCCUUCUGGUCUGAUAAUUAAUAUGAUAAGUUAAAAACAGCAAAGAAUAUAAAAAGAAAAAAAAAGAAUUUGGUAUGAACUCCAUAAGGCAAUUUAUUUAUAAAAACUAAGAAAGAUCAAUUUAUUUAUAUUUGGAAACUAUUGAUGAUACAAAAUCCAAAGUUUCUCAAUAAAAUUUGUACAACUUGUGUUUUACUUAAAAAGAUUCAAACAAUAGUUACUUCUCAAAAGAUUCGGGUCGUGACAUAUAAAUACUUUACCUGGGUUCAAAAGAAUUUUAACAAAAGAAUCUGAAGCUAAUUGCUGAGUGAGGAAACGUGUGGACGCACCCCAAUGUUGAAACUCUGGGAAAGCUGAUCUGAAAAUGUAAGCACAAGAAUAUGAGAAAGAGUAGUCAAACUAGUCACCUAUCAAGCUGACAAGAGGCACUCAACAGACAAAAGAAACCUUGAGACAGCUGUUUUUAAGACAAGUAGUUGAAGUUGAUGGCAAUAUGAACAUGUAAGAACAAAGCUAUAAUAUGAGUUUUGAGUUCUAAGAUAGAUUAAGCAACACAUAUAAUUAAGUUCUACCUGAUCAAUCUACAAUCCUACUUAUUAAUUCUACAACCAAAUGGGAAAAUCUUAUUUGAAACAAAAUUAGUGGUAGAAAAACAAGAAAAGAAAGUAGGAUUUACCUUUCAAGCAAGAAAGAUACAGAUCAAGAACUCAAAACGAGAUGAUUCGAUUCAAUCAGAAAAAGGAAGUACAGAUCAUAAGAAAGGUUUAGGAAAUUUGGCGAGGGAAAUUUGGAAGUCAAUGGUAUACUGAGAGAGAUAUCUCUUACUGGAAGGCCAGCUAUUAAAGUCAUUGCAAUAGAAAUGGGCAGGAAGCUUCAACUUUAUGUCACUUUCUGCUUGUGCUUUCUUUGUUCUCUAUGCAAACUUUGUGCCACUUUCUGCUUUAUUUAUUCACACUAACUAUUAAAAUAUCAAUAAGAAAUUUGGUGAGGGAAAUUAGGAAAUCGAGGGUAUACUGAGAUAUUUCUCUCUUAAUGGAAGCAACUUUAUCAAAUAAGAAAUUAGGAAAUCAAUGGUAUACUGAGAGAGAUCUCUUAGUGGAAGACUAGCUAUUAAAGUCAUUGCAAUUAGCAAGCAUCUUUAUGUUUUUUUACUCUAAAGAAAUAAAACAGAGGUGCUUUCUUUGUCCUGUAUGAUUACUCCCAUGGAAACCACCAUGCAAACUUCAUGCCACUUUCUGCUUUAUUUAUUCACGCUAACUAUUCAACGUGUUCACAUUACACUGCUUCAAAUCCUUGAGUCUACUGUUGUUAGAUGCUAAAACAACAGUGUUAUGUACUUUUUUUAAUUAAAAAGCCAGAACAAUUAAUGAAGAUCAAUUGUUACUUCCACUGUCUCUUGAAACCACCAUGCAAAGGGACUUUGUUUGUCCAAUAUGCAAUUAUAUCCUCGAAACCACCAUGCAAAUUAUUUUUAAUUUCAUGAAACACCUGCUUUAUUUAUUCACACUAACUAUUCAACAUGUUUACGUACAUUAUACUGUUUCAACCAUUGAGUCUACUGUUAGAUCGAACAUAUGCAAUUAUCAUGACAGUAGUGAUGAUGCCGAGGAGCAAUUCGGCUCGCUAAUGACUUUCCUGUCACCAUUUGCUUUUGGCAAAGAACUGGGAUCAUCAGCUUGUGUUGAAUUUCAUAUUAAAUAUCUUGAUCUCCUGAUGUCUUAAGCAAGGUGUUCCAAGUGGUCAGGAGAGCAUUGAUACAGAUGAUUUAUUUUUUCAUCCAUCCUGCUGCCAAGAGAUUAACUUAAAUUCUUUGAUUUAUUUAAGAAAUAAAACCAUUUAAAGACCAAUAUUAUUCCUGCAUAUAUACAUCACAUUUGUAUAAGAUCACGUACGAUCUAUAGGUAACAACCCGAUUAAGAAUCCUCCAAUCUGUGUUGAACUCAGUGGAAUCAGAAAGAUUGAGAAGACAGAGAAGGAGAGAGCGGGAGCGAGAGAAAGACGGAGAGAAGAGAGGGAAUCCACAGCAGUUCUCAUUCAUUUUUUGAAACGGUGCGCGUAAGCAACGGCUAACAGCAGCUUAGUACGGUGCGUUUUUUCAAGAAAUCAGUGGCAAUUAAAAGUUAUCCCUCCACCAUUGUUAAUUCCUGAGAUAUGCAUGCAUCCCUUCAUGGCUGUGUGAUUUCAUCUUUGUUGCAAGACAUUACCGUUGCAGAUUGCAUGGUUGUAGCAUCUUCUUCUGCAAAUUAUUGGGACUUUUCACACCUCGGCAAAUUAUUUCAAGAUAAUAUAUAUGAUACAACAUUUACUAAUUAGAUUUUACUGAACUAACUCGGUUCUCCAUGAGUUUGUAGAAUCAGAACAGUAUGAUCUUUUUAUAGACAUGCUAUAAGUUUGGCUUAGAUUCUGCCAGAAAUGGUUUCUUAUAGCCUUGUAUUUUGUGUUGAUCGCGGAAAACCCAGGAUCAGAAAGAAGGUCCUGAACAGGAGUACGGCUGUCGAGCAUGCUCACAACUUGAGACAUUGUAGGCCUCAGAGUUGGGGAUGCGUUGGUACGUAAGAGAGCGACAUUUAGCAUCAGUACCAUUGCCUCCUCUGAAGAAUACUCUGACCCCAAUUUUGGAUCAACCAACUCCGAAAGACUUCCUCUCUCGCAAACAUAGGCCUGACAGAAUCCCAGAUAAACCCAAAUAAGGAUGCUAUAAUAUAUUCAAAAUGGUAAAAUGAGAACUGUUUUCAUUUGUUUUCAUUCUCGAAGAGCCAUCAUAUGAUUACGAUAAUAUAAAUGAUCAAGGGUUGUAAAUGCAAGGGCUUUUUGUCUGGUGAAAUGAUCAUACACAUCAACAACGGAGCCUCUUUCCCGAACUACAUGGAUCCUUUUCCAUCAUUCUACAAGGUGAAAUGGCCAUUAAAAAAAAAAAAAGCAAGCAAGCAAAAAUGUUUUAAAAAGUAGAUGGUCGGUAGUUGGGACCACCAAAAUAUAAUUUUGAUUUAAGUAUCACAAACAAAAUAAAUUUGUAGUAUGAUCAUGAAAACCAGGUUGAACCCAAGGAAAUUUUCUUUUAAUCUUCCUAUAAUAUAUUGAAAUAAGAAAGAACAGGGGAUUUGAAUGAAAGUUUAAGAAACAAUAAUUUUGAAAAUAAUAAAUUGAUAUGUUGUUAAAUUAGUUCAAGGAUCCACACAUCUAUUCCUAUAAAUUUGUUGAUCAUCGAAGUAAAAUAAAUAUUCUUUCAUGUCAAGCAAAUAAAUUUGAUAUCCUUUAAAGUUAAGGGAAACCGAUGAGGUUACUAGUACAUUAAUUAGGAAAAGCUCUCUAAUCAAUUUCUUACCAUCAAACGAAUAUAAUAUUGAAAGCAAUUUUCAUUAAUUCAACAGUAGUCUUAGGAAUAAAAUUUGUGCAUUUAUUCUAAGCAAACGUUCAAAAGCUUGAUAAUUUAACUUAGUUUAUUCUUCCCUAAUAAAUCAAGAUGAGAGUUACAACAAUCAAAUUAAUUCUUUUGCUUCUUACUCUCAUCCCUAACAACAAUUACAGAUUGAAAGAAACUAGAAAGCAUACAUGUCAUCUCAAAACAAUUCAAUAAGCUUGAAUAACAAUCAAUAAUAUAAUUCUGAACAAGGAAAAAUAAAUACUUGAAUCUGAAAGAAUUAUAAUGAUAACUUUACUUCUCAUAACUUGCUAAUGAAGAUGGUGUCUAUCCCUCUUGAACCGAAUUUAGGAAUUUAGUUCAUAGCUGUUGGAAAUUUGACAAAAGUAGAGAAGAAAGAAUGUUUUUUGAACCCUGUUUCAGCUGUGUUCUGCUCUAUUUAUCCUCCUUUUUGGCUGCCAAAUUUCUCCAGGAUUAUUCUCUAAUUAUAAGUAUUCAUGAUACUUAAUUCGUUCAUUCUUUAUUUGGUUCUUAAAGUUGGAUAAGUCUCUCAAAAUUUGUGUAGAAAACUGACUUUGCUGUUGUCACAACUUUGUUACAAUUCCAAUUCUGCUGCAACUUAGACUUUUUUUUUCUGACUUGGUUUCUUGCAAUAUCCAACCAUCCCAGAUGUAUUCUUUCAUUCAUGGCAUGUUGGAGGCUUGAUUUGAACCUCUCUUGGGUCCUAGGCCCAUGUUUUUAUGUUAAACUUUCAGUCGUAGUAGGAUGCUCAACACCAUUAGUUUCCUAAUCAGAUCAGGAAACCCAUCUUGUCUUUUAGAUUGCAUAUGGAGUUUGGCCUUCAAAAAGAUUUAAUCUGACUUAGAGUCCUUCAUGAAAGUUGUAUUUAUGUAUGUGUAGAUAAAUCUGGGCUUUUGAAUAGCCUUAUUUUGAUAUAUGAUGCUCAAGCUAUUCUCAUUUCAAUAUCUAGUGUGAAAGCAGAGAAUCUUGCUACGAGUAAGAUUCUGACCCGAGUUUGCAGGUCUAAUUAGGGAUCCAAAUGAGAUUGAAUUUUUUUCCGUAAUACCUUUUUGGAAAGCUUGACAUGUGUACUUUAACUUAGAUUAAGCCUAACUUGGUGAAACACCUGUUAUAAGUAGCUAGGUCCGAAACAUAAAAUGCAGGAUUUCUUAUCUUUAGCAAUUAAUUCACGAAGUUUAUUAGGCAUACCAAACUCAUAAAAAUAACUUCCAACACUACUAGAAAAUUAUUAAAUAUAAAUGGAAAUACCGAGGGAAUAUUUUCAUCGGUAAAUUUCUAACGGAUUUAUAGACGGAAAUAUUCCCUCGGUAUAUACCGAGGGAAUUACAGUGGGAAAAAAAUAAUUAAAAAAAGAAAAAAAAAAGAUGUGCCAAUUUUACCAACGGAAUUACCUACGGAUUGAAAAGUCGGUAAAAUCAUUGGCAAAUUGUGAACACUGUUUAUAAUAUCAAUUACAAAGGGAAUCACCGACGAAAAAAUCCGUCGAUAUUUUACAGAGGGCUCUGGAAUUGUUCACUUUCUAAUUGCACUGUUAAUACCUGUUCUUUACAGACAAAAUCACUGACGGAUUGACAAGUCGUCGGUUUUCUAAAAAAAUAAGACUAAUUUAAAAUUUUAAAUUAAAUAUUACAAACAUAAUCACCGAUGGAUUGAAAAGUCGUCGGUGAUAUUUGGCUGCAUCUGAAAUUUUUUGAUUAAAUUAAAAAUUAUAGACGGAAUCACCGACGGAAUGAUUAAAAAUAUUAAUAUUUAAUUAUCCGCCUGUAAAACCGUCGGUAAAAUGCCCUAAUAAAAAGCCUAGAAUCCUUAAUUUCACAACAUACCCGUUUCCUUUCUCUUCUUCUUCUUCUUCUUCUUCCCCAUAUGUUAAAAACAUCAGUAUCCAUUUCUUUUUCUUCUCUUCUCUCCUCAACUCCUUCUCCUCUCCUCCAUGCUCAGGUAUGUCUUCUUCUCCUUUCUUCUUUUUUUCUUCUCAGUUUUUUUUAAUUAGUAUAUUUUACGAUUAUUUUUCUCUUCUUAGCUUCACUUGCAACUACAUUAAGGUAAGAUUUUUGUUUUUUUCUUUCUUUUUUUUUUUUCGUGUUUUUUUCAUUAUAUUUUAAUUGUUUUUAUUCUUAAUAAUUGUAUGAAUGUAGUUGCAGGAUUUAUAGGAUUUUUAAAUUUUUUUCAUAUGAAUUUUUUUAGUUGAAUUUAUUUUUUCGUGUUAUUUAUUUGUUGCAAAUUUGUUUGAGUUGAUUUUCUUCUUCUUUUUCCAAGCAUUUUGAGUAUUAUAGAGUGUUGAUUUAUAUUAAUUUAAUUAUUUAUAGUUUUGUAAAAUAGAUUUUUUUAAAAAAUAUUUUUAAAUAAUUACCGACGAAAUUACAUACGGUAUUUUGCUAAGGGAAAUAUGUUUUUUCCAUUGGUACUAAUUUUUUUUAAUUAACAACGGACUUACCGACAGACAAAAAAUUACCGAUGAAAGAUUCACCGAGUUGGUGAUUUCAUUGGUAAAUUAAUUACCAACGGAAUGACAGUGCAAAUACCGACGGAAAAAUCCGUCGGUAAAUAUAAAGAUUAUGGUAGUGUAAUAAACUCAAAUAAGCUUAAAAUACAUUAAAAAGCAUAGCUUAAAAGGAGGAAAAUAUAUGUAUAGUUUGGGCAAUGUCGUCUCCUACCAAUCAAUCUCUCCUACCAAUCAAUCUCUACAAAGGGCGGAAGCACCUAAACUUAAAUUCGACAUUAGCAGAACUCUACAAAGGGGCGAAGAACUUCCUUAGCUUUAGGAUGGUCCCAUUCCAAGACUGACUCCUACCAUUCUUCAGGUACUGCAUAUAUUUCUCUAAGAGAAGGGGGAGGAAAUAGCCCACCAUUUUCAAGAAACGGAAGAUAAAUUGGUAUCCUCUUCAGCUUCUCACAAUUCAUUACGUGAAUUUCUUCAAGAGAAUCACAUCUCAGUUUUGCCCUGCAAAUGCUUUUUAGUUCUGGUAAACAAUACAAUUUCAGAAUUUUUAAGUUUUUGAAUUCGUUGUUGCUGCUGCUUUCUUCACCUAUAACCCCUUCUUCAUUCGAUCUUGUCCCAACUAUUAUCUCCUCCAUUUUCUCACAAUUACAAACUUCAAUUUCUUCUAAUUUUACGAGGCUUGGCAGCAAGACAAGAGGGAACAACUUCUUCAUACUCUUACAACCAUAACAAUGAAACUUCUUAAGACUAGAAAAUAUACCAUUGUAAGAUGGAGUAGAGUAAAACCAAGAAGAUGAAACCAAGCUCUCCAUGAUAUUGCAACACCUAAUAUCGAUAUCCUCCAGUUCAGUUGCAUACUUUAUUAGAGAGGAAACAUCGCAUAAACUUGUUGCAUUAUCACAAUCACAAAUGACCAGUCGUUGAAUGUCCUUUGGGAACAUGAUCUGAAAAUCUCCAUCUCUAUUUACACUCAAGUUACUGAAAACAAUUGUUUUACUUCUACCAUGAUAAUCUCGAUAAUCCAUUGAAUGCCCUACCCAGAUGUGGUAUGUGCUUAGUGAUUGGGUCUCAUCUCGAGAUUUGAGAUACUCCACGUAGUCAGAGUAACCUUCAAAACGGCAUUCCAAAGUUUCCAACUUUCUCAAGCAUCCUACUUCCUUUCCUUUAACUGUUAUCGGAGCAUAUCGUAACAUUCUAACAUAAGGAAACGUCUCUAAUUUCAAGAUUUGCAGGUCAGAUAGCUUAGGUAACAACCCACUGGGAAACUCUUUCUCACAACAUCCAUUCAUUCCAAGAUAUUUUAGGUUGCAUAGACAUUCCAUGCCUUGAGGCAUCUUUUCAAGUUCAGUGCGAGUGAGAUCUAACCUCUUCAAUGCCUUGAGCUUUUUCAAUGAUGGUACAUGCCUCAACUCCCUACAUUCUUUGAGCAAUAAUACAGUGAGACUCACCAAUUCAGAGACAGAGUCAGGCAGUUUUGUGAUAUAUGUACGAGACAGAUCAAGAACCUUGAGCCCAUGCAACUGCUCAAAAAAUGAAUCUGCAAUAUGCACCAGUGGAUUUCUGCGCAACAAUAGAGUUGAAAGACUGGGACACCUUGGUGAAUGACCGGAAGGAAUUUUUUCAAUUUGGUUAUACAUCAGUGAAACUCUCGUAAGAUUCUCUGUCCACUCCUCUGCACCCGGCAAUUCUCUUAAUUGUGCACCUGCUUUAACCAUGUCUAGAGAGUUAUCUUCCAGUAUUUGAAUGGCCAUAUCCCUAAUCAAGUCAUGCAUCUUGACAUACCCUUUCUUAGCACUUUCCAAUAGGCAGACUCUUUCAAGUUUAUUAAGCAUCGAGUGGCCUUUGUUAAACUCUGCCUCCCUACUAUUCAACCCUUUUAUCACUCCCUCGUCAAUCAAAUAAGCUAUCAAAUCCUCUCUACGGAUCAUGAAGUCUUCAGGGAAUACUGCACAGUACAAGAAACAUUGUUGCAGUGCUGACUCCUUUAAGUGCAUAUAACUAAAUCUUAAUAUUUGGAAUACCUCCUCAUCCAUGUCCUCCCAAACCCUUGAUUGUUUCAGUUCCUCUAAAGCAUUCCUCCACUCACAUAUGUCAUCCACUCCCCUCAUAGUUCCGGCCAUCGUUUUAAUUCCUAGAGGCAAACCAGCACAUUCACUUGCCAUAGAUUUUGCAAUUUCUUCCACUUCUGGAGGAAUACAUCCAAGUAUCUUUAUGAACAGAGCCCAAGCUUCUUCCAUUGAAAGAGGCUCCACUUUGAUUAUCUUCUUGCAGACCAUCUGCUGGCAAACUUCAAAUGAUCGAGUUGUAAGAAUUAGUUUGCAUCCCUUCACUUGGAUAGGAAUUCCCACCUUAUCAAAAUCAAAACGGUUCCACAAAUCAUCUAAAAUGAGAACCCACCGUUGUUUCUCAAUUAAUGCUUUUGACAUUUUGGCAGCCCUUUUCCUCUCGUUGUCUUCAUUUGAAAGAUCUAAAUGAAUGUCCUUUGCAAUAAGAUUCCGCAAUUUAUAAACACUAAAAUCCUGCGAUACUGUGAUCCAGUGAACAUGAGGAAAAGUGUCAGGUUCUUGUAGAAGCUGAUUGUAGAUAUGUGUGAGCAAUGUUGUUUUGCCCACACCCCCCAUCCCGUAAAUGCCAAUACUUGAUGAGGCUUCAUCAUUCAUUAUCCACGACCAGAUAGCAUUCUUAUUAUUUUCAAACUCUCCACCUGAAAGUUCUUCAGUUAGAAACACAUCUCGUCCGCUCUCAUCGCCAUUACGUUGAAGAACUUCACGAGUGCUAUCUCUCACAGCAGGCUGCCCAGGGUCUCCAACCAUGUUCACUAGUGGAGUACGGAGUUGAUCAUGAUAUUUUCCAUGGGUAAGACACAGUGGAUCAGUUGGUUGGGAAGAAUCUUCUUGAGGCUCAUCGUGAUUAACAAGUGGCCUCUCAUGAGAACUACCUCUUACAACAGGCUGCCAAGAUACUCUCUCCAGAUGUUGCCCUUGUGGUGCCACAUUGUCGACUUCAACAUGUAAGCUAGCAGGUAAUGUAUCUCCUGGAGUCUCAUUUGUGUUGCCUGUAAGCCCUCCAGAAGAGCUAGCUCCUGCACCCGGCUGCACUAGUCCUCCAGUCCCAUUCUCUAUAGCAUCCUCCAUUAACCAUCUACCGAACUCUUCCAAACUUCUUCCGAGUGCUUGACCCAUUCUAUCUGCUGCUUGUGUCGUUCCUGCAUCUCCUGCCACAUUGUCGACUUCAACAUGUAAGCUAUCUAUCCUUUCUUCGAGCUCCUUGACGGAAAGAGCUUCUUCUUGUUGUGCCCCAUCAUUGCUUGACGUUUCUGUGAAUCUAUGGUUCUUUUCUGGAGGGCCAUCAACAGCAGCGAACGCUGCUUCUCGAACCAGUUCUGGCACUUUGUCACAAAUUGUAGUUCCACGCCUUGGAACUCCUGACCAAUGAAACUUGAACCUGGUAAUCGGAGUUAGCUUGGAGAAUAAAUGAGCACAAAACUUACACCGCCUACUAUCAUCAGGCAUCUCCUCAACAUGCUCCCAAAAUGAACCCUUUGGCAGAACCAUUUUCUCCUUUUCUUCUGUGGCCUGCAGAGGGGAAAAUAACAAAUUCAUUUAUUUGGAGACAAUACUGAAAUAAGGAUUACAUUCCAUGGAAGACAAGGAGAUAAAUCUCCAAAACAGAACUAAGCAAAGGAAAAGACCGCAUAUACACACACACACACACACCUUCUGGUCUGAUAAUUAAUAUGAUAUUGUGUCUUCAAAAGAAUGCCCUUGCCGCUGUGUGACAGAGAUGAUAAUUGAAGUUGGUAGCAAAACAAGCUGUGAGAACAAAACAACAAUUUCAGCUUUGAAAAGCAGAAACAAUCAUUUAAUUAUUUUCCCUGGAGAAAUAAAACAAGUUGGUAGCAAAAAUCGUUGCCAUAAUAUGUGAAAAACUAAACUGAUCGAAGCUGUAAAACAAAGCAUAUGCAAUUAAAUCGAUCAUUAGGAACAAAUAUAAAUUCUACAGCUUGUUAUUAAUUUAAUAUAAAAAAAUAAACAGGGAGGCCCUUAACUAUAUAUUUUCCUGUAGAGAUGUACUUUAAGCAGAGAAAUAUUUAUAGUAAACAUUGGAUAAUUGAAAUAAUUGUCAGAAAAAGAGACUACCAAGCAAUCUAAAAUAAAAAUUUGGAAUAAAUUAUCAUUGUUUUUAAGAUAAGAAGUUGAACUUGAUAGCGAAAUGAACAUUUAAGAACAAAGCUAUAAUAUUUGUUUGAGUUCUAACUUCUAAGAUUGAUUAAGAAACACAUACAAUUAAGUUCCACUUCGUUUCGGAAGAGCCAAAACAAAUAGGUGUAGAAACAAAAUUAGUGGUAGAAAAACAAGAAAAUAAAUCAGGAUUUACCUUGCAAGCAGAAAAGAUGUUGAACUCCAGAAGAGACGAUUCGAUUCAAUCAGAAAAGGAAGCACAGACCAUGAGACAGGUUUAAGAAAUUUGGUGAGGGUUCAAGCUUUGGUAAUUUAGGUGUUUGGGAGUGUGGUAGCGGUUGCUUUUCAAAUAGCUUUUCGUGCUGAAAAGCAUGUCAAUAAUAUUUUUUCAUUUUUUAAAAAUCAUUUUUGACAUCAGCACAUCAAAACAUCCAAAAAGUACAAAUCACACUCAAUUUUAACAAAAAAAAAAAAUUUGAAUUUUGGUGAAAAGCUGGUUUGGCGCAAUGCCAAACGGGCUCUAAAACAAGUAAUGGGGCCUUUCUGCUUUAUGUCACUUUCUGCUUUAUUUAUCCACAUUAACUAUUCAACGUGUUCACAUUACACUGCUUCAAAUCCUUGAGUUUACUGUUUGAUGCUAAAACAACAGUGUUAUGUACUUUUUUAAAUAAAAAGUCAGAACAAUUAAUGAAGAUCUAAACUUCGAAGAAAAUCACUUGGCCAGAAAUAACAGUACUGCUCGGGUCAGCUGCUAGCAUGGAUACACAAAUGCUACUUGGGGAAAUUACGCAUUUCCUAUAUCAGCAUAAAAAAGGAACAAUCCUAUUUUGUUGUUUUAAUUUUAUCAGAACUGCAAACUUAUUUUUAGUCUGUCAGUAACAGCUGAUCUCAUAAAGGAAAGCACAGGCAAUUAAUUGAUUAACAUGAAGGAGGAAUAGAUAGUUACCCGUUUACUCUAAAGAAAUAAAACAAUAGGGCAAGUCCCUUGUGCUUUCUUUGUCCAAUAUGCAAUUAUUACUCCCACUGUCUCCUGGAAACUACCAUACAAAGGGGCUUUGUUUGUCCAUUAUGCAAUUAUUAUUUUCACUGUCUCCUCGAAACCACUAUACAAAUUUUAUUCAACCAUUGAUUCUACUGUUAGAUCAAACAUAUGCAAUUUUCAUGACAGUGAUGUUGCCGACGAUGAUGAGGCACCACGUAUAUGAUUAUAGAUAAUAGAGAAUAGCCCAAACUAUUAAAAAAUUGGGUUUUAGUUUAUGUUUUUGGGUUUAAUUUAUAUGAGUAUUUAGUUGAGUUUUAUUAAUUUGGCUUUAUUUAUUGGGUUUGAUUUAAUUAUUGUUAAGUAUUUUAUUUAGUAAGUCAUAAGUCCAAUCGCUUAUUCUAGUUAGGAUUUUAGUAUUAAUACCCUACUUUUCUAAAUAUAAAGGGAUUUUUGAUGAUUAAUAAAAAUUUGCAGAUUUUGCAUAUCUUCAAUCCCCUUUCUUUGCUUUUUCUUCUUAACUUUUUCUCUAAAAGCUUCUUUCUUUUUUACUUUAAUUCUUAUAUAUUAUUUUUUAUCCUGCAUCAAAUUUGGUAUCAAGCUAGGAUUUUAAUGUUCUUACAGUUAAAUAACCCACAAUGUUUAUGAUAAACCCUAGAUCCAGUUGAUCUAUAAAAAAAAAAUUGUUCACUGUUAAAAAAAAAAUACUCUUCUGAUUAAAAUUGAUUACUUAACACCUAAAAAAACAAGUAUAAAUAAGUUUUUUUUUAACCCUAAAUCUAAAAUAGUAUUCUCUACAGACAAUCAGCCGCACUCUUUACUCUCUGCAUCUCUAUUUUCUCUGAUUUUCCUCUAUAUUCACAUCCCAAAAUUGUUAGCUCCUGCUGCUCCAUGCUCCUCUGUUCUCCUAUCAAAUUCACACUUUCUUCACUUUUGAUUUUAAUUUUUUAAUUCUUCCAUCAAAGGCACGCACUCGGUUCAGGAAGUAUCUCCCACUGCCUUCCUUCAGAUUCAAAGCGGCACUCAACUAAGGGAUUUCGGGCCAGAAGAAAGUAAUGUUUACUGACGGGACGAGACGAAAGAGAUCCCUCUCUUUACUUUUACUUUUGCUUUUAAUCUUCUUUUUUUCUUUUUAUUUCUCAUGUAACCUUAUAUUGUUAUGUCAAACUAGAAAAAAAAAAUUUGAGGACAACAAUUGAACUAGAAAGUGCAGAAAGAUGCUUUCCUUUAGUCAUUAGCUUGCUUGGAAUGGAAGAAAUGCCAGAUUUCCCAAUAUUCAAAGUUGCAGUGUGUAAUGUUUUGAAAAUAAAAGGGAAUAGAAAAAAAAAAGGAAACAAAGCCUUUGAAGGUUUAAAAGUAUAUAUAAAUGAAUAAGGAGUAUUUUGGUAAUUGAGUAAAACCUUACUAAGUAUAAAUAGAAGGAAAAAAGAAAGAGGGAUUUGAAAUUUGAGAGUGAGAACCGGGCAAUAGAAAAGAAAAGGGAAAGAAAAAGAAGAAGAGGAAAAGGGAAAGAUAAAUAAAAGAGAAGAGAGUUAUAGAAAAUAAGUUUAAAUGUAAUAUUUAUAUUCUGAUGUGUAAAAUAUAUUUUUUUAGCUUUGAUUUACUGUUUUGUUGAAGGUUAAAGUUUUGAAGAUUUUGUUUUGAGUUAAUUGAUGAAUUGAUUUGAAUAUAAUGAGUUAAUUAUUUUGGGUAAUGAGUUGUUUAGUUGAUUUUGAAAAAUUCUAGAUAAAAAUAAUAAUUUUGAGUUAUAAUCUGUUUAAAUGAUGAGUUUUAGAAUCUUUUAAUAUGUGUUGAUAUAGAAAGAUUGAGAAGACAGAGAAGGAGAGAGAGGACAACAAUUGAACUAGAAAUUGCAAAAGAUGCUUUCCUUUAGUCAUUAGCUUGCUUGGAAUGGAAGAAAUGCCAGAUUUUCCAAUAUUCAAAGUACAAGUGUGUAAUGUUUUGUUAAAUUGAAGGACCAAACUAAAAAUAUCAUAAAUUCAUGAUUAUAUUGAAAUUAUGACCAUAAUUAAUUUUUAAUUCUGUCUAGAAUAUCUCAUUAUACCCCUCAUUCAUUUAUACCCUCUAUUUAAGCCUUCAAGUGUUUUGUUGUUUUUUUUUCUAUCUCUUUUAGGUCCCGUUUGUUUGCUGGAAAGUAGUUUUUUUUUAAAAGUAAAUUCCAAGGAAAGUGAAUUCCGGGAAAGUAUUUUCCGAUGUUUGGUAAUGUAAUGGAAAAUAAGUUGGAAAACAUUUUUCAGUGUUUGGUUAUGUUAUGGAAAAUAAGCUGGAAAAUAACUUAUUAAUAUUUUAUUUUUCUCAAGUUUAUUAAAAAAUAAGAAAUAAAUCUUACAAAUUAAAAAGUUGAAUGAGAAUGAAAUUGAAAAAAAAUAUAUAAUUUCAUAGAUUAUCUCAAAUAAAAUAAAUAAUAAUCAAAAUAAUAGAGAUCAAAUCUAAAAAAUAAAAAAAAAAUGAAAGAUGAAGAAAUUAAAAUAAUAAUAAUCAACAUUUCAUAAAUUAUUUCAAAUAAAAUAAGUUACAAUCAAAAGAAUGAGGACCAAAUUUGAUAGAUAAAAUUUUUCAAUAAAAAAAUGAUAAGGAAAAAGCAAAUAACAAUUAUAAAAAUAAGGACCAAAGUUAAUAUAAAAAUAAAAUUUUAAGAGAUGAAAUUGAAAAAUAAAUAUUCAAAACAAAAUAUAUAUAGCAAUCAAAAGUUUGAGGAUCAAAUUUGAUAUAAUCAGCAAAUAAUGACAUUUCUAAAUUUUUCACAACUUCCGAAAAGUGUUUUCAGGAAAACACUUUCCUGAAAACCAAGCCAAAUUUUCUUUUUACUGGAAAUUGUUUUCCAUUAACCAACUUUUCUAAUGGCAAACAAACACAAGAAAGUUUGGAAAGUGAUUUUCCAUAAACCACUUUCCGGAAAACAAACACAGCUAAAGGGAAAACACUUUCCUGAAAACCAAGCCAAUUUUUUUCUUUGAUUGAAAUUGACUGGAAAAUAUUUUUCGUUGAUCGGAAAAUGUUUUUCGUUGACCAACUUUUCUAAUGACAAACAAACACAGGAAAGUUUGAAAAACGAUUUUCCGGAAACUAUUUUCCAAGAAACAAACAUGUUCUUAAUUCAAAACAUCAGAAGUCAUUCAUUCUUUUCCAGUCUCUUUCGAAUAUGUAUCUUUUGAAUUCGUAUAAGUAUGGAAACUUGGAAGAACCUUAGUAAUUUUAUUUUGGUUGCUCAAAUACUCUGGUACGGAUAGAGUAGUCUAGUAGAUUUUUUAUAAACAAAAAAGAAAAGAGAUUAACUUAAAUUCUUUGAUUUAUUUAAGAAAUAAAACCAUUUAAAGGCCAAUAUUAUUCCUGCAGACAUCACAAAGCUGGUAUAAGAUCACGGAUCUAUAGGUAACAACCCGAUUAAGAAUCCUCCAAUAUGUGUUGAAGCAGAAAGAUUGAGAAGACAGAGAAGGAGAGAGAGAAAGACGGAGAGCAGAGAAGAAGAUGGUGCUGACUUGACAACCUUAAUUACAAUUUAUUGAAACGGUGCGCAUAAGUAACGGCUUAACAACAGCCUAGUACGGUGCGUUUUGUCAAGAAAUCAGUGGCAAUUAAAAGUUAUCCCUCCUCCAUUGUUAAUUCCUGGGAUAUGUAUGCAUCCCUUCAUGUGUUGAAAUGUGAAGGCCUUUAAGAUGGAUCAUUAUUUCUUCUCAGAAAAGAAAAAAGGGAUCAUUUUCUGCUAUUAAAGUCAUAGCAAUGGAAAUCGGCAGGAAGCUACAACUUUAUGUCACUUUCUGCUUUUGCUUUCUUUGUUCAAUGAUUACUCUCAAUAGAAAUCACUUGGCCAGAAAUAACGUAAAGCCAUGCUUUUUUCUUUGGAGAAGUCAUGAAAUUGGCAGGAAGCUACAACUUUACCAAAGGGAAGACGGCUGGCCUCCUCAGGUUCUAUCCACGAGUUUGUGGGAUCAUCAGAACAGUAUGAUCCGUUUAAAGACAUGCUAUAGGUUUAAGAAGUUUGGUGGGGGAGUUAGGAAAUCAAUAAGAAAUUUGGUGAGGGAAAUUAGGAAAUCAAUGGUAUACUGAGAGAUCUCUCUCUUAGUGGAAGCAACUUUAUCAAAUAAAAAAUUAGGAAAUCAAUGGUAUACUGAGAGAGAGAUCUCUUAGUGGAAGCAACUUUAUCAAAUAAGAAAUUAGAAAAUCAAUGUUAUACUGAGAAAUCUCUUUUUUAGUGGAAGCAAUUUUAUUUGUGCAAUGUGCAAGCAACUGUAUGAAAUUAAAGCCAUGUUCUUUUCUUUGGAGAAGUCAAAAGAAUUUGGAAAGGGAAACAAGCUGUCUUCCAUCUUUUUCCUUUUUGUUGUUUUAAUUUAAUCAGAACUGCAAAUUUAUUUUUAGUCUGUCAGUAACAGCUGAUCUCGUAAAGGAAAGCACAAGCAAUUAAUUGAUUAACAUGAAGGUGGACUCGAUAAUUACCCGUUUACUCUAAAGAAAUAAAACAGGAGGGCAAAACCCUUUUGCUUUCUUUGUCCUAUAUGCAAUUAUUACUCCCACCUCCUCCUCGAAACCACCAUGCAAAUUUUAUGUCACUUUCAUAAAACUAUUCAACAUGCUUACUCAGAGGGAAUCUGUGCCUGUGCAAUAAAAAGUUAUCCCUCCUCCAUUGUUAAUUCCUGAGACAUGUAUGCAGCCCUUCAUGUGUUGAAAUCUGAAGGCCUUUAAAAUGGAUCAUUAUUUCUUCUCAGAACCAAAAAAAAGGGAUAAUUUCUGUGCGCUGCACAUUUUUUUGCGAAGGCAAAAUGCAUUUAUCAGAUUGAAUAUAUCAAAGAACUAUUUUAAUUUAAUAUUUUAAACUAUUAAAUAAAUCCUCAAGAUAUAAUUUAUAUUAAAAAAGAUAAAAAACCAGAACAAAAAAUAUAAAGGAAAAACCACAAAAAGAGUAAGGGAAGAGAAGAGGAAAAAAAAAAAAAAAGCAAAGCAGAGAGAAGAAACACCAGAGAACAAACAAAAAGAAAACAGAAACAGGGGGGGGGGAGAGUAGCAUUGGCUAGCCAGCACACCAUCAUCAACUUCGUCUCCAGCGAAUCAAGGGUCACAUUGCUUUGGGUAAUGCUUGGUUUUCUCAACUGAACUAAUGAUCAUGCCCUUGACAUUCUUUGCUCGAAUUCCUUUGAUAAUACUGGCAAUUAAUAACUUGUUAUUUUUCAUUUGUUUUAGAAGCAUGCAGUAUGCAAUCAUCCUUGGAUAAUACUUGUUAAAGGAAAGCAAAUCUGUUAUAAGACAGUGAAUGAAGAAGGAAAACAAAUCUCUUUGAUUUGUUGAACGAGAUUAUAGGAUAUAAAUAUAAUCAGCUUUUAUUGUAUGAUCUACUUUCCUUGAAUAGCAGAUUUGUAAUAGGGCAUACUCUUGUAUAUAUUAUUGCCUCACGACCUUCAGAAUUUAAUAUACAAAAUACACAAUUCUCAAACUUCUUAUGGUAUCAGAGCAACGCCUUUGGUAACCUAUCACGCUUCCGCCACCAUAACAAAUACAGCCCCAUAUACACAGCUCCCUCAUAGUAAUCACAAAUCUCUCACAAACAUCAUGACAGAAGCAAGCAUGAAGACAGACAAGCAUUCCAUGGAGUCAGAUCCAUAUGCAAUACACCAUACAGACCAUACUGGAAUUAUUCUUGCUUCCAAGCCACUUGAUGGAAACAAUUAUGGGCAAUGGAGUCGUGCCAUGUGCAUGGGUCUCAGCGCAAAGAACAAAACAGGGUUCAUUGAUGGAACCAUUCUAGCUCCGUCACCCCUGAAUGAAAACUAUGCAUCUUGGAAAAGAUGCAAUGAUAUGGUAACACUGUGGAUCGUGAAUUCUGUCCACCCAGACAUUUCCAACAGCAUCAUGUACACAGAAUCUGCUGCUGCAAUUUGGAACGAUCUCAAAGAAAGAUUUUCACAGAACAGUGACUCAAGAAUCUAUCAGAUUCGACAAGAAAUUAUUGAAAAUCGUCAAGGGCAACUCUCAGUUUCGUCUUAUUAUACCAAGAUGAAAGCCUUAUGGGAUGAGUUAGCAUCCUGCCAUGAUCCACUUGUUUGUACUUGUGCAGGUUUAAAGAGACUCACUGAACGGGAAGAGAAAGAAAGAGUUAUGCAAUUCCUGAUGGGAUUGAAUGACUCUUACUCCACAAUACGAGGGUCAAUCCUGAUGAUGAAUCCACUCCCUGACACACGACGAGUUCAUGGUCUUAUUCUUCAACAUGAACGGCAGAUGGAUGUAGCCAGUCGUCGAGAUAUAGGGAUGAAUUCACAUGCAAUGCAGGUAAGGCGAAACCCAACAUUUCAGUCCUUUAACAAACAGAGCACCAACACAUCUUCACGUAAACCACUCAAAUGUAACUACUGUGAUGGAGAUGGACACUUGGUAGACCAUUGCUACUAUAUUAUUGGGUUUCCAGAAGGACACAGAUGGCAUGGCAAGAAUGUGAAGCCGAGAAAUAAGAGAUCAAUGGCCAAUAAUACUGAGGUUGUUCACUCUGCUACAAGGGCUGUUCACACUACCACAAAUUCCAAGCACAACACUUCAGUUACAGAUGGUCCUACAUUCACUACCGAGGAGUAUAAUCAGAUCAUAGCCAUGCUCCGUAGUGGUAAUGGACAGCCAUCUAUAAAUGCAACAGGUAUCUCGCCAAAAUGCAAUAUAGCACAAACAGGUUCACAUUCAACUCUCUGUUGGAUUAUUGAUAGUGGAGCAACUGAUCAUAUAUCACAUUCAUCACCAACACACAACAUUAUUAAUGCUCAGCAUGCAUCUGUUGGCUUGCCAAAUGGGGGACAGACAAAAAUAAGAAAUAUUGGUUCUAUCAAAUUAUCACAUGAGCUAUCUCUCGAUAAAGUUCUCUAUGUGCCAACAUUUCGGGUCAAUUUAUUGUCUGUCAGUAAAUUAACAAGGGCUUUACAUUGCAUGGUAACAUUUUACCCGGAUUUUUGUAUUGUGCAGGACAUGGACACGAAGAGGAUGAUUGGCCUGGGCAAGCAUUUUGAUGGCCUAUACUACCUUACACCUGGACAAAACCCCCAUCUUGCCAACCACAUUCAUCAUACCAAUAACUUAUGGCAUCGACGUUUAGGGCACCCGUCAUCUGCACCUUUACUUUCAUUAGCAAAAAAUAAUGCUGAAAUCAUAUUUGAUUCCACACAUAUUUGCGAUAUUUGUCCUUUGGCAAAGCAAACUCGUUUAUCUUUUGGUCGUAGUGAAAUAAAAACAUCUGCACCUUUUGAUUUAAUCCAUUGUGAUAUUUGGGGACCUCACAGACAUCCAACACAUUUCGGGGCACAAUACUUUCUUACUAUUGUAGACGAUUAUACUCGUUUUACUUGGGUGCAUUUUAUGAAAUUCAAAUCCGACACUCAAUCAAUUUUGAAAACCUUUUUCUCUUGGGUCAAAACACAAUUUCAAAAGGAUAUUAAGAUUCUUCGUGCAGAUAAUGGUAGUGAAUUUCUUUCUAUGCAUUCUUAUUUAGACUCGUGUGGGACUUCUUUUCAACAUUCUUGUCCUUACACACCACAACAAAAUGGGGUUGUGGAACGUAAACAUAGGCAUCUUUUAAAUAUUGGUCGUGCUCUUCAAUUUCAGGCCAAUUUACCUUUGAAAUUUUGGGGGGAAAGUAUCAACACUGCAUGUUACCUCAUAAAUCGCCUUCCCACACCAUUACUCUCUCAUAAAUCACCAUAUGAGCUUUUGCACAACACACCACCAAUCUAUACACACUUACGUGUUUUUGGAUGUCUUAGUUAUGUUACCAACCUCACACCUACCAAUAAGUUUGAUGUGCGUGCUCGUCGUUGUGUUUUUCUUGGUUAUCCCAUUGGGCAAAAGGGUUAUAAGUUAUAUGAUCUCACCACACAUAAAUUUUUUUCCUCACGAGAUGUCAUUUUCCAUGAACAUAUUUUUCCCUACACCACCCCCACACAUGCCACCCCACCUGUCCUGCCACUUGUUUACCCAUCUCCCACUCCCAUUCUAGAUCCCUUUCUCAUCGACUUUCCCUCCCAACACAACACCAAUCCCUCUGAUCUCAAUUCCCCUCCACCCAUGAUAGCCACCCCCGACGUUACCAUAACUGAUACCACACCCGACACUACCUUACCUUCUACCAUUGCCGCACAUUCACCAGAACCUGCUCUUCCUAACAGCUCCCCCAACCAAGCUAUAUUGCGUCAAUCCACCCGUUCUUCUAAACCACCAGCUCAUUUCAAAGACUAUGUGGCCCAUCACUCAACCUUGCUCCUGUCCAAGGCAACAUCCUCGCGGUCCAUGUUCAGCACACGACAUCCACUCCAUCGGUAUGUUUCCUAUUCAUGCUUGUCCCCUCAAUACCAAUGUUUUCUUGCUCAUAUCUCCCACUUGGUAGAACCUGCUACUUAUGAACAGGCUUGUCACAAUCCUCAUUGGGUCACUGCUAUGCAAGCCGAACUCAAGGCUCUCUCAGACAACAAUACCUGGAGUUUUGUUCCUCUCCCUCAUGGACAACGACCCAUUGGCUGCAAAUGGGUGUUCAAGCUUAAGUAUCGAUCUGAUGGGACUCUUGAACGCCACAAAGCUCGUCUUGUUGCAAAGGGUUUUACUCAACGCGAAGGCAUUGACUACAAAGAAACCUUCGCCCCAGUAGCCAAACUCCUCACUGUCCGUUGCCUCUUAGCUGUGGCUGCUGUUCGCAACUGGUCUUUACACCAAAUGGAUGUUCAAAAUGCUUUUCUUCAUGGCGAACUCCAAGAGGAAGUUUACAUGUUGCCUCCUCCAGGUUGUCAUCGACAAGGGGAGAACAUUGUUUGUCGACUCCACAAAUCUUUAUAUGGGCUUAAGCAGGCAUCCAGAAGCUGGUUUAGAGAAUUUUCUUCAGCAAUACAGACCAUCGGUUUCUGUCAAUCCAAGGCAGACUACUCUUUAUUCACUCAAGUUAAGGGGACUUCACUCACUAUUGUGCUGUUAUAUGUUGAUGACAUGGUGAUCACAGGCAAUAAUGAAGCAGAAAUUAAGAACUUGAAAGGUUUUCUCAGUAGCAAAUUUCGAAUUAAAGAUCUCGGACCCCUGAAGUGUAUUUUCUUGGAGUUGAAGUUGCACGGUCACAAGCUGGAAUCACCAUUUGCCAACGAAAAUAUACACUGGACAUAUUGGAGGAGGCUGGCUUACUUGGUGCUAAACCUACAAAGAUACCAAUGGAGGCAGAUUUGGUAUUAACACUUGCAGGUAGCAGCUCACUACAUGAGCCAGCAAGAUAUAGACGUCUAGUUGGAAAAUUAAUUUACUUGACCAUCACAAGACCAGAAAUCGCAUACACUGUCAACACAUUAAGCCAAUUCAUGCAAGACCCACAGCGACACCAUCUUGAUGCAGCAUAUCGACUUCUUCGAUAUCUCAAAGGAGCUCCUGGACAAGGUUUGAUGUUUCCUUCCCACAAUGAGCUCCAUUUGGUUAGUUACUGUGAUGCAGAUUGGGCGCGGUGCCCCAUAACACGUCGCUCAGUAACCGGUUAUUGUAUCUUCCUUGGGAAAUCAUUAGUUUCAUGGAAAAGCAAGAAGCAGAUAACAGUUGCCCGGUCAUCCGCAGAGGCAGAAUAUCGGUCUAUGGCUGCAACUACUUGUGAGUUGAGUUGGCUACGAUUUUUAUUAAGAGAUUUAUGUGUUGAACAUCCCCAACCGGCAAGAUUAUUCUGUGAUAAUCAAGCCGCUCUGCACAUAGCCGCAAAUCCCGUAUAUCAUGAACGUACAAAACAUAUUGAAAUUGAUUGCCACACUGUCCGUGAAAGAAUUCAAAGGGGAGAGAUCCAAACCUCAUAUGUCAGAACAGGAGAGCAAGUAGCAGACUUAUUUACUAAGCCACUGCGUGCACCUAUUUUCCAUACACAUUUGGGCAAGUUGGGCACUAUUGAUAUACAUGCUCCAACUUGAGGAGGAGUGUUAAAGGAAAGCAAAUCUGUUAUAAGACAGUGAAUGAAGAAGGAAAACAAAUCUCUUUGAUUUGUUGAACGAGAUUAUAGGAUAUAAAUAUAAUCAGCUUUUAUUGUAUGAUCUACUUUCCUUGAAUAGCAGAUUUGUAAUAGGGCAUACUCUUGUAUAUAUUAUUGCCUCACGACCUUCAGAAUUUAAUAUACAAAAUACACAAUUCUCAAACUUCUUAUAGAAGAACGGGUGGAUUGACGCAAUAUAGCUUGGUUGGGGGAGCUGUUAGGAAGAGCAGGUUCUGGUGAAUGUGCGGCAAUGGUAGAAGGUAAGGUAGUGUCGGGUAUGGUAUCAGAGCAACGCCUUUGGUAACCUAUCACGCUUCCGCCACCAUAACAAAUACAGCCCCAUAUACACAGCUCCCUCAUAGUAAUCACAAAUCUCUCACAAACAUCAUGACAGAAGCAAGCAUGAAGACAGACAAGCAUUCCAUGGAGUCAGAUCCAUAUGCAAUACACCAUACAGACCAUACUGGAAUUAUUCUUGCUUCCAAGCCACUUGAUGGAAACAAUUAUGGGCAAUGGAGUCGUGCCAUGUGCAUGGGUCUCAGCGCAAAGAACAAAACAGGGUUCAUUGAUGGAACCAUUCUAGCUCCGUCACCCCUGAAUGAAAACUAUGCAUCUUGGAAAAGAUGCAAUGAUAUGGUAACACUGUGGAUCGUGAAUUCUGUCCACCCAGACAUUUCCAACAGCAUCAUGUACACAGAAUCUGCUGCUGCAAUUUGGAACGAUCUCAAAGAAAGAUUUUCACAGAACAGUGACUCAAGAAUCUAUCAGAUUCGACAAGAAAUUAUUGAAAAUCGUCAAGGGCAACUCUCAGUUUCGUCUUAUUAUACCAAGAUGAAAGCCUUAUGGGAUGAGUUAGCAUCCUGCCAUGAUCCACUUGUUUGUACUUGUGCAGGUUUAAAGAGACUCACUGAACGGGAAGAGAAAGAAAGAGUUAUGCAAUUCCUGAUGGGAUUGAAUGACUCUUACUCCACAAUACGAGGGUCAAUCCUGAUGAUGAAUCCACUCCCUGACACACGACGAGUUCAUGGUCUUAUUCUUCAACAUGAACGGCAGAUGGAUGUAGCCAGUCGUCGAGAUAUAGGGAUGAAUUCACAUGCAAUGCAGGUAAGGCGAAACCCAACAUUUCAGUCCUUUAACAAACAGAGCACCAACACAUCUUCACGUAAACCACUCAAAUGUAACUACUGUGAUGGAGAUGGACACUUGGUAGACCAUUGCUACUAUAUUAUUGGGUUUCCAGAAGGACACAGAUGGCAUGGCAAGAAUGUGAAGCCGAGAAAUAAGAGAUCAAUGGCCAAUAAUACUGAGGUUGUUCACUCUGCUACAAGGGCUGUUCACACUACCACAAAUUCCAAGCACAACACUUCAGUUACAGAUGGUCCUACAUUCACUACCGAGGAGUAUAAUCAGAUCAUAGCCAUGCUCCGUAGUGGUAAUGGACAGCCAUCUAUAAAUGCAACAGGUAUCUCGCCAAAAUGCAAUAUAGCACAAACAGGUUCACAUUCAACUCUCUGUUGGAUUAUUGAUAGUGGAGCAACUGAUCAUAUAUCACAUUCAUCACCAACACACAACAUUAUUAAUGCUCAGCAUGCAUCUGUUGGCUUGCCAAAUGGGGGACAGACAAAAAUAAGAAAUAUUGGUUCUAUCAAAUUAUCACAUGAGCUAUCUCUCGAUAAAGUUCUCUAUGUGCCAACAUUUCGGGUCAAUUUAUUGUCUGUCAGUAAAUUAACAAGGGCUUUACAUUGCAUGGUAACAUUUUACCCGGAUUUUUGUAUUGUGCAGGACAUGGACACGAAGAGGAUGAUUGGCCUGGGCAAGCAUUUUGAUGGCCUAUACUACCUUACACCUGGACAAAACCCCCAUCUUGCCAACCACAUUCAUCAUACCAAUAACUUAUGGCAUCGACGUUUAGGGCACCCGUCAUCUGCACCUUUACUUUCAUUAGCAAAAAAUAAUGCUGAAAUCAUAUUUGAUUCCACACAUAUUUGCGAUAUUUGUCCUUUGGCAAAGCAAACUCGUUUAUCUUUUGGUCGUAGUGAAAUAAAAACAUCUGCACCUUUUGAUUUAAUCCAUUGUGAUAUUUGGGGACCUCACAGACAUCCAACACAUUUCGGGGCACAAUACUUUCUUACUAUUGUAGACGAUUAUACUCGUUUUACUUGGGUGCAUUUUAUGAAAUUCAAAUCCGACACUCAAUCAAUUUUGAAAACCUUUUUCUCUUGGGUCAAAACACAAUUUCAAAAGGAUAUUAAGAUUCUUCGUGCAGAUAAUGGUAGUGAAUUUCUUUCUAUGCAUUCUUAUUUAGACUCGUGUGGGACUUCUUUUCAACAUUCUUGUCCUUACACACCACAACAAAAUGGGGUUGUGGAACGUAAACAUAGGCAUCUUUUAAAUAUUGGUCGUGCUCUUCAAUUUCAGGCCAAUUUACCUUUGAAAUUUUGGGGGGAAAGUAUCAACACUGCAUGUUACCUCAUAAAUCGCCUUCCCACACCAUUACUCUCUCAUAAAUCACCAUAUGAGCUUUUGCACAACACACCACCAAUCUAUACACACUUACGUGUUUUUGGAUGUCUUAGUUAUGUUACCAACCUCACACCUACAAUAAGUUUGAUGUGCGUGCUCGUCGUUGUGUUUUUCUUGGUUAUCCCAUUGGGCAAAAGGGUUAUAAGUUAUAUGAUCUCACCACACAUAAAUUUUUUUCCUCACGAGAUGUCAUUUUCCAUGAACAUAUUUUUCCCUACACCACCCCCACACAUGCCACCCACCUGUCCUGCCACUUGUUUACCCAUCUCCCACUCCCAUUCUAGAUCCCUUUCUCAUCGACUUUCCCUCCCAACACAACACCAAUCCUCUGAUCUCAAUUCCCCUCCACCCAUGAUAGCCACCCCGACGUUACCAUAACUGAUACCACACCCGACACUACCUUACCUUCUACCAUUGCCACAUUCACCAGAACCUGCUCUUCCUAACAGCUCCCCCAACCAAGCUAUAUUGCGUCAAUCCACCCGUUCUUCUAAACCACCAGCUCAUUUCAAAGACUAUGUGGCCCAUCACUCAACCUUGCUCCUGUCCAAGGCAACAUCCUCGCGGUCCAUGUUCAGCACACGACAUCCACUCCAUCGGUAUGUUUCCUAUUCAUGCUUGUCCCCUCAAUACCAAUGUUUUCUUGCUCAUAUCUCCCACUUGGUAGAACCUGCUACUUAUGAACAGGCUUGUCACAAUCCUCAUUGGGUCACUGCUAUGCAAGCCGAACUCAAGGCUCUCUCAGACAACAAUACCUGGAGUUUUGUUCCUCUCCCUCAUGGACAACGACCCAUUGGCUGCAAAUGGGUGUUCAAGCUUAAGUAUCGAUCUGAUGGGACUCUUGAACGCCACAAAGCUCGUCUUGUUGCAAAGGGUUUUACUCAACGCGAAGGCAUUGACUACAAAGAAACCUUCGCCCCAGUAGCCAAACUCCUCACUGUCCGUUGCCUCUUAGCUGUGGCUGCUGUUCGCAACUGGUCUUUACACCAAAUGGAUGUUCAAAAUGCUUUUCUUCAUGGCGAACUCCAAGAGGAAGUUUACAUGUUGCCUCCUCCAGGUUGUCAUCGACAAGGGGAGAACAUUGUUUGUCGACUCCACAAAUCUUUAUAUGGGCUUAAGCAGGCAUCCAGAAGCUGGUUUAGAGAAUUUUCUUCAGCAAUACAGACCAUCGGUUUCUGUCAAUCCAAGGCAGACUACUCUUUAUUCACUCAAGUUAAGGGGACUUCACUCACUAUUGUGCUGUUAUAUGUUGAUGACAUGGUGAUCACAGGCAAUAAUGAAGCAGAAAUUAAGAACUUGAAAGGUUUUCUCAGUAGCAAAUUUCGAAUUAAAGAUCUCGGACCCCUGAAGUAUUUUCUUGGAGUUGAAGUUGCACGGUCACAAGCUGGAAUCACCAUUUGCCAACGAAAAUAUACACUGGACAUAUUGGAGGAGGCUGGCUUACUUGGUGCUAAACCUACAAAGAUACCAAUGGAGGCAGAUUUGGUAUUAACACUUGCAGGUAGCAGCUCACUACAUGAGCCAGCAAGAUAUAGACGUCUAGUUGGAAAAUUAAUUUACUUGACCAUCACAAGACCAGAAAUCGCAUACACUGUCAACACAUUAAGCCAAUUCAUGCAAGACCCACAGCGACACCAUCUUGAUGCAGCAUAUCGACUUCUUCGAUAUCUCAAAGGAGCUCCUGGACAAGGUUUGAUGUUUCCUUCCCACAAUGAGCUCCAUUUGGUUAGUUACUGUGAUGCAGAUUGGGCGCGGUGCCCCAUAACACGUCGCUCAGUAACCGGUUAUUGUAUCUUCCUUGGGAAAUCAUUAGUUUCAUGGAAAAGCAAGAAGCAGAUAACAGUUGCCCGGUCAUCCGCAGAGGCAGAAUAUCGGUCUAUGGCUGCAACUACUUGUGAGUUGAGUUGGCUACGAUUUUUAUUAAGAGAUUUAUGUGUUGAACAUCCCCAACCGGCAAGAUUAUUCUGUGAUAAUCAAGCCGCUCUGCACAUAGCCGCAAAUCCCGUAUAUCAUGAACGUACAAAACAUAUUGAAAUUGAUUGCCACACUGUCCGUGAAAGAAUUCAAAGGGGAGAGAUCCAAACCUCAUAUGUCAGAACAGGAGAGCAAGUAGCAGACUUAUUUACUAAGCCACUGCGUGCACCUAUUUUCCAUACACAUUUGGGCAAGUUGGGCACUAUUGAUAUACAUGCUCCAACUUGAGGAGGAGUGUUAAAGGAAAGCAAAUCUGUUAUAAGACAGUGAAUGAAGAAUCUAUCAGAUUCGACAAGAAAUUAUUGAAAAUCGUCAAGGGCAACUCUCAGUUUCGUCUUAUUAUACCAAGAUGAAAGCCUUAUAGCUUGGUUGGGGGAGCUGUUAGGUUACCAAAGGCGUUGCUCUCCUGGCAAUUAAUACUGGCAAUUAAUAACUUGUUAUUUUUCAUUUGUUUUAGAAGCAUGCAGUAUGCAAUCAUCCUUGGAUAAUACUGGCAAUUAAAAGUCUGAUUCCAAUGCAUCCUUAGAAUUUUCCAUCAGGUGAAUGUAUUCCCAUCAGCUUAAAAAUCAAUCUCUGCCUUUGACUCCCAAUACUUGCAUAUCCAAGCCUGGAGGAAGAGGAGGAGGUGGAAGAGAGAGGGGGCAGAGAAAAUGACACCGCCUUCUUCCUCUUCGAGGAAGCGGGGUUUCUUGGUGCCUGGUUUCCAGAAAUGCUAUGACAUUUUUUUUUUUUGAAAACAAUAAAUAAAUAAAUGUAAAUCAGUUCAAUAUAAUUCUUUCCCAAUAUUACAACUAAUAAUGAUUUUUCUAAAUAUAUUUACCAAGAAAAUAUGUAAUAAGGUGAUUGUUAUACAAUUCUGAUCCAUCAUAGGAAGAUUUAGAUUCCUGAAUCAGACAUUCUCACCGAACACAAAUAACCAUCUUUCGAAACAAAUCUAGUGGAUAAAAAAAAAUUAUAUUUAACAAAAAAAAUCCUAAAAAUAAAAUCACAUAUAAAUUCUUCAUUAUUAUUGGUUUUGUAAAUUUUCAUUUGUUUCAAAUAGUAGGGACCCAAUUGAUGAGUUUUGUUUUACCUUGCUCUUCUUGAUGAUGUCUUGGCUGACGUUUUUUCAUAUUAGCCGGAAAUCCACCUGGAAUCUAAUAUAUGUAUUAAGAGUUUGUUUUGGUAAAGUAAUGCAAGUGAUCAUUUUUAAAAGUAUUUUUUUAAUUAAUAUUAAAAUAAUUAUUUUAGAUUUUUUAUUUUUUAUUUUUGAUAUCAAAUAUUAAAACUAUUAAAAAUAAAUCUAACAAAAAUAAUUAAUUUUUUAAAUUACUAAUCAAAAUAAGAAUUUGGAAGCUGGAAUAAGAAAACUCAAGAAAAAGAAUUUUUAUUUGUGUUUGGCUUACAUAUGUGAACUAGGUAUGCAACAAGUAUUUACGAGUUAAUUUGUGGGAUAAAUCCAAUAAAAACAAGGAAAAUUUACAAAACAGAAAUUUCAAAGUCUAUUUUUGAAAAAUCUGUGUAACAAAUGAAUCCUCAAGGGUGGUUCUUAAUAGAACCAGACCUCAAGAAUAUCAAGUGAAAAUUUAAAUUUCAUCUAAUAAUCAAAUAAAAAGAUAUUAUUUUUUUUAGUCACUAUGCUGAUUUGAUGUAACCGGUUCUUUUCUUGAAUCCAACCCUAUUCCAAUGGUCUAUAAAAAUCACUGACAUUUAUGUAGUUUAUUUGAGAAAAAUUAUUCAAAACUUCCAAUCUGCUCGGCUACAUCAUAAUUGCAACAAAAUUACCACAAUAUCAAUACUCACAUAUCAGUAAAUUUUAUAAUUAAUAUGGGGGAAGAUCAUAACAAUAAUAUGAAGUCUCAGUAAUUAAUUGAGGUAAUAGUAUUAAGAAAAAAUUGAUUCAUUCCACUGAUUAAAAAAUACUUAAAUAGUGAAAGGUGAUUCUAGAAAAACAAAUUCUAGAUUAUAAAAUACUUUUUUCCAGAUUGAGAAAUAACCAAAAAAACAUUUUGCCUCGCGCUUAACUUAACUUGCCUGGCUUUUUUUCUCUUCUAUUUGAGUGAUGUUGGUGGGCUUGGGCUAUUUUUCAAUUGAAGCCACCAAGAGCUGACCAGUUAUCAUGAGGUGGGAGUGCAUCUCUUUGUCUCUUCAAUUUACAUAGUGAUUUCAGCUUGCUGUUUCUUGGGUCUUCCUCGCUUGAUUGGUGCGCUGGAAUGGCUGCCCAUGAAAGAUGCUCCCAGCUUGGCAAGUUAUGCGAGAUUUUUGCCGGAUGUUCUAGUUAUUUUUUGUUGGGAUGGGUGGUGGACGAACGUGCUUGCCUUUUCAACUGGAUUUGGUUUCGAUGGCCCAUUCCAUCUUCUUUGAUUUGGGAGAGUUCAGGUACGAAUUUUCAGCUUGAUUUGAUUUCAAUUGUCUUUUUUAUAUAUAUAUUGCUAUAUAGUACAACCUUGCCAUGCUUUGCCAAUUCAAUUUUGGGUGUCCUGCCAUGUUAGCUGUCACAUUGAUGCCUCCUACCCUUGAUAUCAUCUUUCCCAUCAUGGUCAGCUGGACUUUUUUUUUUUCUGGGAUGUGCUUGUUUAAGUCUGAUUGGGAGACCUAUAAAGGAGUCCCUAUGCUAAUUUAUCUAUUUUCUUUACUUGGUUUUGCAUUCCUGCUUUCUCUCUUCUGCUCAAUGGUGUAGCUCAAUUGGAAUUCAAUUUAUUGUCCUUAAUUUUUUACUAUCUUUCAGGUUUCCCUUGUUUUUUCUCACCCCAUUGUCGUUUGACAGUUGUUUUGCCAUGUACUGUCCCUAAUUUAUUUUUUUAGAGUUGAAUUUAGCUCAGUGGUGUUAUUUUCUGCUUUCUUUCUCGGGAUUUUGGCUCUUUUGCUGGCGCAGCCACCUGAUAUUCCAUGGCUUAGGUUGCGUGAUGUUGCUCCAGCUCUCAAUUUGCUAGGUUUGUUUCUUUUCAGAGACCCUGCAGGUUGCUUUUUCUUUUUUUCGGGAAGGACUUUUUGAUUAGGUUUAAGAGCAUGUCUGAGCUUCCUCCUAUUGUUUGGCUUGCUCACCUUCCUUUUUUUGUUUUAUCUGAUGCUCUUCAGUUACUGGUUGUAUGAUGUGUUCAGGAAUGCUGUGUGUCUUUGAUUGCCUUCGUCAAGGCUCGAUCGAAUAGCCUUUGUCAUGGUUAUGUGAUUCUUCGGCUGUUUUUUCACAGGUAUGGUGUUCCUUCACUCCAUUCAUUUUCGUAUGGCUAAAAUUUCUUCAGAUGGUUUCAAUAUCGGCUUUUCCUAGAUCCAUCCUUUUGUUGUUUUUUAUUGUAAUUUGUUUUUUAUGUUGUUGAGGAUGGUUGCAUUUCAAUCGUGGCCUCUUACUUACUUUUGUUCUAUCAUCUAUGUUUGCUCAUGUGCUGUUGCUUAUCGGGUUGGGCCGUUAUUCGUUGCUUGCUGCAUUGCUAGCUACAGUAAUUUUGUCUACAUGUUAGUUCCUUCACUUUAUUUUUAAGGAUUUUGCUGUUUUUGAUGUCGUUGAGGGUGUCAUUUAAUGUUUGUUAAAAUUAGUUAAAGGACCCUCGAGUAAUGCAGGGAACUGAGGAAUAGGAUGGAUAGAUGAAAACCAAACACUUGAGAUAAGACAACUUGAGAUAAACAGUUAUGUUCUAAUGUUUAAUUGGAGUUGAAUUAUUUAAAUGCAUAUAUCCAAUUUCUCUUUGCAUAAGCAUCAUUUUAUGUUCCGUUUAGUCCUGCCAGAGUCAUUCACUCCCUUUCUCUUUGCAGCUUUAACUCUGUGAUCAUGGAAAAGGUACAUUUUACAAGAUAUGCAUUUUGGGGGCAUCUAUUGGACAAUGGAGAUAUGACUGCAAGAGGGAUGACACAAAAUCACAUACAAAGAUUCAUUCUUGAAAAUAUAGUCAUCUUCAGCCCUGGUUUAAAAAACAUAUAAAUGUUCUCAUUGAAGAACUUACAUGGUGCCAGGAAUGGACCCUUUGGUAGAACCAUUUUCUCCUUUUUCUUCUGUGGCCUGCAGGGGGGAAUAACAAAUUCAUUUAUAUGGAGACAAUACAGAAAUAAGGAUUGCAUUCCAUGGAAGACAAUGAGAUAAAUCUCCGAAACAGAACUAAGCAAGGAAAAGGCUGCAUAUUUAUGUAUAUACCUUCUGGUCUGAUAAUCUGAUCUUGUGUCUUCGAAAAAAUGCCCUUGCAGCUGUCUGACAGAGAUGAUAAUUGAAGUUGGUAGCAAUACAAGCUGUGAGAACUGAACAACAAUUUCAGCUUUGAAAAACAGAAACAAUAUUCAUGUAAUAUUUUUCCUAGAGAAAUAAAAGAGAGAUCAAUCCAGUAUUAUUUAAUUUGUGCAAGGGAAAUUAUUUUUUACAAGUAAGAAAAUGAAAAUUUUGAAGAAAUCAUUACUUUUUAAACAAGGAAAGGAAAAGACUGCAUGCAUACCUCAAUCUUACGAAGCAGUGCCCUUCAAAGAAUGAAGUCCAGAAGCGAAGGGAGCAAGUACAAAUUCUACAGUUCGUCAACAACCAGCAAACAUCCUAUCCAUAAGAAAUAAACUGAAGCUGUAAAACAAAGCAUGUAUAAUUAAAUCAAUCAUUAGGAACAAGUUCUACAACUUGGUCAACGAUUUUAAUAUAACCAAAUGGACACUUUUAUUUGGAAGAAUCAAAACAAAUACGUGUACAAACAAGAAAAGAAAGUAGAAUUUAUAGUAUGAGUCGAGUUCAAUUAUUGAUUAAGCAACUUAUAUAAUUAGUGGUAGAAACAAGAAAAGAAAGUAGAAUUUACCUUGGAAGGAAGAAAGACGUUGAACUCCAGGUGAGAUGAUUCAAUCAGAAAAAGGCAGCACUGAUCAUCAGAAAGGUUUAAUAAAUUUGGUGAGGGAAUUUAGGAAAUCAAUGGUAUACUAAGAGAUCUCUUUUAUUGGAAAUCAAUAGUAUCUAUUAAAGUCAUUGCGAUUUGGAAGCAACUUUAUCAAAGUCGCAAAGGCAUGUCUUUUUCUUUGCAGAAGUCAACAAUUUGGCAGGAAGCUACAGCUUUACAGAUGGUAAGCAAGCUGUGUCCCACCGUUUUCAAUGAUUAGCUUCCAGCUGAUAAUAAUAUAAACUAUAUAUUAAAAUAAAUAAUCAAUCAAGUUUUAAUUUUAUUAUUAUUAUUUAUUUAAUAAAAUUAAAUAUAAAAUAGUAUAUGGUUGUAAGUUUUAAAUUCAAAAAAAAUUAUAAUAAUACGUAGUCUCCACUCUUUAAUAUAAUAAUACAUGGUAUUUAAGAUAUAGUCUUUAAUAUAAUAAUUAUCCGAUGAUCAAUUUCAUAUUAAUAAUUUAAAUAUUUAUAUUAUUUCUAUAACAUAUAAAAUAUUAUUCACUCAUCUUACUUAGUUUCUCAAGUUGUUUUCCCUUUCCUCCUCAUCUUCUUCUCCUUUUUUUCUCUUUCUUCUUGGUUCUUUCUAAAAUCAGCUUUCUCUUUCUUUAUCUUUUUUUUCUAUUUAUAUUUAUUAAGCUUUUAUUCAAUUACUUAAUGCUCUUCAUCCAUUUACACCUAUUUUAAGUAUUCAAAGGCAUUGAUGUCUUUUCUUAUUUAUUUUCUCUCUUUUUUUUUCAAAACAUCACCGUGCUGCCACAGACAAUUAUCUCAUCACUACCAUAUGAAGAAGGAAUAAUAUUCUGAUAAAUGUUGAAAAUAUGAAGAUAAUUACUCAUAAAAAAAGAGAAAAAAGGAAAUUCUAGUUAAAAUAAACUUAUAGGUACUGUGGAACAGAAAUGUAUUUUGUCCAAACUAAGAGAAACCAAUGUUGCAUUUAUAGAAGUUUAUUGAUUUCUAGAAGCAGGACACGGACAGUUUUGUUUUAGACAUGAAUGUACUUUGCUUCUGCAACAUUAAGGGAGAAAAAGAAGUCUCAAGUGAUUAUAUUGACAAGAGAUGUUAAAUUCUUAAGUGAUGGAAAAAUGGAAAUAGUAUGAGAAAUGGAAAAAUUCCUUGAAUAUGUUAUAACAAAUAUUUAAGUAAUGAUUCACAAUUUGAUUGGUUGUUCGAAACUUGAUAUUACAAUGUGAUGUUUUGCAAUGAGCAUUAAACCUGCAAUGAGCAUCAAAUGUCUUACAAAUGUUUUCCAAUCACCAUUAAACAAAGAAUGAAGGAGAAUUAUAGAGAGUAUAACCUUACUCAGUCAAUAAGGUAAACAAACUCCUCCUUUGGCCUGUAGUUUGUGUUGCUCUUACCACUAACAAUUUCCAAAGCAAUAACUCCAAAGACAUUUAUUUUUUGAACUCCAAAAGAAAUGCUUCUGAUGAAUGGAAGAAAUAAACUCAACAAAUAGAGCACGGGACAGGCAAUUGUACACAAGCUUUAAUUGGUUUCCUUCAACAAUGAAAAGUUCCAUCCUCAACCUCAUGGCUAAGAAUUAAUAAUUUGCUCUGCUUUAUUUGUUUUCUGUUCUACAUAUAAAACCUAAGCAAUUUUAUGGAGAACAUUUAACCUCUUGCUAAAGCUAUUUUUCUACCGCAAACUUAUAGAGUGUAGUGAGGACAGAUGAGAGAAACCAUCAAAUAUUCAGAUAUUCUGAACCUGUGUUCAUUUACUGGUGAAAGCAGGUAACUUCCCUGAUAAAUUGUUAUCAUUCAUCCUCCUAAAAGUGUCAAAUAAAUACAAACUCAUAGAGUUCUCUGAAAGUAUGAUUGUUUACCAUAAAAUUUAGAUAAAAAGAUGAAGAACAUGCACAUAUGAAAAACAAUAUUUUUUGAAGAAUUGCAAUAACAUGAUUUCCACUGAAUUUGAUCCAUGUGCAUGGUUGAAUUAUCAGCAUAGAAGAUUGAAAGAUGGAAACAGUCCGGGCAUGUUAAAUAUGAGACUUUUGGGCAUCAAAAUCAGCGACAUUUCCUGUGGUAAGAGAGGCUGAUUGCAUAUCUUUUGGGUCAAAACACCCAGCCGAGGUAAAUCCAAAGAUGAAGACAUGAAAAAUGCUAAGUAAUCAAUGUUUUUAUUGUUUUGUUUUGUUUUUUGGUUCAUAGACGUGUGCUUCAAUUAAGAGGCGCACAAAAAAGAAAAGGUGUCUGCUUACAUAUCUGUCAGGUUGACCAACUUGGCAAGUUCUGCAGGCAACUUUCCUGUCAAUGCAUUGAGGAGAAAACACUGAAGAGAGAUGACAUUAAACAUAAUAUUGAGUAAUAUCAUUUUAUGUAAGGUACAACUUAAAAUGUUUACAAAUGGAGAAAGAGAGAUUACAAUAGUGAGAAGAAUGACAAAUUCUACACAUCCUAAAAUCUUAGUUCCAUCUUUGCUUUCUUCUUUUUAGAUAUUUGGCAGAUACUUUUUGUAGAAGAUUGUUAUAUUUAUCUCCUAUUCUGUUAAGAACUCUACAUUAGUCUUUUGUAUACAAAAUCUAUCACUUACAAGACUUAUCUCCUAUUCUGUUAGGAGUCUUUACAAAGGUCUAUAAAAGGCCUUUGUGUUCCUGUAUAAUUAUGAUUUGAAACAUAGAUGAAUAAAGUGAAAUAAAGAACUCAGUUCUUCAUGGUAUCAGAGCAGGUUUUCUAAAUCCCUGCAAACUUAUUGAAUCAAGCUAUCCCUCAAUACGAUGGCUACCAAAUCAACCCUCGUAUCAUCCUCUCCUGUUAUACAUGUCCAAUCUGAGAAUUCAGGUUAAUUUCAAUGCUGGCAUAAUUCUCACCGAAACCAAUUAUGACACUUGGUCCCAAAUAAUUGAGAUGCACAUUGCUGGUCGUGAGAAACUCAAUUAUAUCAUUGGUUACUCAUCUCAACCUGAACCAACAGACCCCUCUUAUUCGAAAUGGUAUGCUGAAAAUCAAAAAAUUAAAGGAUGGUUACUCACAUCAAUGACAUCUGAGAUCAUGAAGAGGUAACUUCGCCUACGUACUGCUCGUGAAAUUUGGAGUGUUCUUGCUAAAGCAUUCUAUGACGGAUCAGAUGAAACACAAAUAUUUCAUCUAAAUCAACGUGCCUUCUCCAUUCAUCAAUUAGGUCAAUCUCUUCCUACAUAUUAUGGUGAGCUGGUAGAGAUAUUUCAAGAACUUGAUUAUCGUGAUAAAGUUAAAAUGAGGGACCCUGAAGAUAUCAUUAUGUAUAUAGUAUCAGUUGAAAAAUUGAGGAUACAUAUCUUCUUAAAUGGUCUUGAUGCUGAAUUUGAACAAGUAUAGGGAGAAAUCCUUUGCAUGGAUCCAAGCCUUGAUCUUGAACGCACAUAUGCAUAUGUUCGUCGUGAAGCUAAUCGUCGAAUUCUUCUUACAAAUGACCUGACUGCUCCUAAUUCUAUGGAUAUGUUAGCUCGCCAAAACACACCACAUAUCCGACAAACUCACCCUGGUUCAGUGGUGACAUCUUGAAGUUUUGAUAUUGGAAAUAAACCGUCUGGCUCAUCUAGAUAUUGUACUCAUUGUGGAGACACUAGGCACACUAAAACUCGAUGUUAUGACUUGAUUGGAUACCCUGAAUGGUGGGAUCAUUCCAAGGCUCCAAAACGUAAAGGCAAAACUGCAACUACAUCAACAGUAUCCACCGCCAUAGCUGAAGUAUCUUUACCGGAUGCCAAUGCUACUGCAUUACACACCUCCUCCAACUCACCAAGUAAGUCUUCUGAUAAACCUGCGCCUAUUGGAUCUUGUGCAUGGAUUAUUGAUUCUGGAUCAACUAAUCAUAUGUCCUUUGACACUACCUCCCCUGUUUCUAAAUUAAAACCAUCUGAAAAAUAUGUUAUGUCUACAGCCAAUGGAACAGAAGCCACAAUUAUUGGCAAAGGUUCAUUUUCUUUAAGUAAACUCUGUUGUUACUCAUUUUUGGACUCCCGCGUGCUGGAGAUGGUGUAUACCUCUUUUGAAUAGAGUAUAGGAGUUUAGCUCAUGUUCACUAGAAAAUUGACAAAAGCACAAAAAGAAAUAUUUUUUUCGAAAGCCUUGUUUGAGCUGUUUUCUGUUUUUGUUUUUAUCCUUCCCCUUUGCUACCAAAAUCAUCAGUUUUUCUUAGGUUGGUCAGGAGUCUUCAUAAUGCUAAAUUCGUUCCUUUUUUAUCUGGUCUUUAAGGUUGAAUAAAUCCCUCAGAAUUUGCACUAAAAAAAAUGGUUCUGCUACUAUGGCAAUUUUUUGUUCUAACUUAGGCUCUGAUUCUUACUCGGUUUUGUACAAUAUCUGACCAUCCUAGGUAUAUUCUGUCACUCAUGACAUGUUGAAAAAUUAACGUACACCUUUUUUAUGUCCUAGGGAUCAUUGUUCUUAAGGUAGAUUCUUAGUCAGAAUUGGAUGCUCAACAUUGUCAGAUCAAGAACCUUUUUGACCAACUAGAUUACUGCUAGUUUCUGUUAUGUAAAAAGAUUUUAUCUCACUUCGACUCCUUCAUCAAAGUUGUAUUCCUAGAUGCGUAGAUGAAUUUGAGCUUUUGAAUCACUUGAUUUCAAUAUUAGAGGCUCAAGAUGUUCCCGUUUGAAUAUCUAACGUGAAAGUAGAGAAUUCUGCCGCGAGAAGGAUAUUGACCCGAGUCUGCACUAAAAAAACUCUAUUUUUGGCCUAGUUUUUGUGAUUUUUGUUCUUAGUUCAUACUCUCAGUCAUAUCAGGAUUCUCGGCAUUUGUCAGUUUUUGAGUUAGACUCGGAAAUCCCUUUUGAUCAACUAGAUUACUGCCAGUUUCUGUUCUGUAAAAAGGUUUUAUCUCACUUCGACUCCUUCAUCAAAGUUGUAGUCCUAGAUGCGUAGAUGAAUUUGCGCUAUUGAAUCUCUUGAUUCCAAUAGUAAAGGCUCAAGAUGUUCCCGUUUGAAUAUCUAACGUGAAGGCAAAGAAUUCUGCCGUGAGAAGGAUAUUGACCUGAGUCUGCACUAAAAAAAACUCUAUUUUUGGCCUAGUUUUUGUGAUUUUUGUUCUUAGUUCAUACUCUCAGUGAUAUCAGGAUUCUCGGUAUUUAUCAGUUUUUGAGUUUAGACCUGGAGAUCCCUUUUGACCAACCAAAUUAGAGCUAGAUUCUGUUUUGUAAAAAGAUUUUAUCUGACUUCGACUCCUUCAUCAAAGUUGUAGUCCUAGGCCUGUUGAAUAAUUUUGGCUUUUGAAUCACUUGAUUUCGAUAUCAGAAGCUCAAGAUAUUCCCAUUUGAAUAUCUAACGUGAAGGUAGAAAAUUCUACCACGGGAAGGAUAUAACCCAAGUUCACUGGGCUAAUUCGAAGGAUUUUUUUUUAAAAUAUAUGUUGACCUGGUUAAUCCUAGCUAAUUCACUAUCCAAGUUUUAAUCCGGUUUAACCUUGAACUAUAUUUGGAAAUUAUGCUCCAUGGAGUUAAGUCGCCUAGAAACAAGUGGGUUCAGAAAAUAAAAAUGAAAAACUCAUCCAUAAUUAGUAUAUAUUGAUAACUUGUACUUCAUGCAAAAUUAAUAAUCAUGAUUUUCAUAUUUUUCUUAAUUUCAUAACAUGUUUAUGUAGCAAAAUAUUUGAUUCUGAUACUGUGUGUGUGUAUUAAUUCAUUAAAAUUAAGCAGUUCAAUUGUCUCUUAAUCAUUUUUUUUUUCUUGGUGGGACUGUUCGAAAUAAUUUAAAUAGGGAUGUGAUGGGUCUGUGCUGAUUGACUCAACAAAGGAUAACAGAGCAGAGAAGGAAUCUCCAGGAAAUCAAAGCGUGAGAGGCUUUGAACUCAUUGAUGAUGUAAAGGAGCAACUUGAAAAGCAAUGCCCUGGUGUUGUCUCAUGCGCUGACAUUGUUGCAAUGGCUGCUAGAGAGGCUGUUGCUUUGGUAACAAUUCAAUCCAGGUUUUGAUUUUUAUUUUUUGAAACCCAACCCCGACCAGGUUCCGGGUUGAUCGGGUCUUGAGUUAACCUGUGUGGUUGGGUCUCGAGCUAACCUGCGUGGUCAGGCUGGUUUAAUUGCCACAAUCACCGACGGAUAAUCCGUCGGUAAAUACCAUUGGAAACACAGACGGACUUAUCUGUCGGUAAAAUUCUUGCGGGUAAUUUUUUUUCUGGCUCGCUUCGCCAUCUGUAAAACUGUCAGUGUUUUUUUUUUUUUUAUCAACAGAAUUGACAAUCAAAUGAAAAAUUAUCGAUGAUCAAAAUUCCGAUGGACAGAUUCCGUCAAUGAGACCGUCGGUAAUAUUUUUACCAAUGGUUCUUAUGCCUUACACCAACGGACCUAAUCCAUUGGUAAAACUGUUUAAUGGUGUAGUGUACUAACACCUGUUUAACAUCUACUGAUAUAUGAUGGUCUGGUCAUGGUGGGAAUUACAGUCAGGAGGUCCAGUAUAUGACAUACCAAAAGGAAGAAAAGAUGGAAGGAGGUCUAAGAUUGAAGAUACUCUCAUUGCGCCUGCUCCAACUUUUAAUGCCUCGGAGCUCGUUAGAGUCUUUGGCCUCCGUGGUUUUAGUGCCCAAGACAUGGUUGCCUUGUCCGGUAAGCGGUGACCCAAUCCCAUUAUUAUUAUAUAUAUAUAUAUAUAUUAUAUAUAUUAUUAUAUAUAUGGGAUCUUCUUUGUAUUUAGCUGGACCUGGGAUCAAUCCUUAAAAGAAGGUUUCUUAAGGAUGAUUCUGCUCUAAUUCUUUCCUUUUCUUCCCUUGAAAUCUUAUAGUUUUGUGACGAAUUGGUCUAUGCAGGGGGGCACACACUAGGGGUGGCAAGGUGUUUAACGUUCAAAAAUAGGUUGAGUGACCCUGUUGAUCCGACUAUGGAUUCAGACUUUUCAAAGACUUUGUCCAAAACAUGUAGUGGUGGAGACAAUGCAGAACAAACAUUUGAUAUGACAAGAAAUAAUUUUGAUAACUUCUACUUCCAAGCAUUGCAGAGGAAAUCGGGAGUUCUUUUUUCAGAAAACCCUAUACAAUAAUCCAAUAACACAAUCAAUUGUCAAGGGCUACGCUAUGAACCAGGCUAAGUUUUUCCUUGAUUUUCAACAGGCAAUGGUGAAAAUGAGCUUGCUCGAUGUCAAGGAGGGAUCACAAGGAGAAGUAAGAGCAGAUUGUCGUAAAAUUAACUGAGUGUUGUUUGUGAAAUAUUGUUCUUGUACGUAGAUUAAGAGAAUAGAUUUGUCGUCCUCGUGUAGAUUAUUAAAAAUUUCCUAUAAAUUUAAGCUGCUUGACUUUAUGAUGGGUGAUAGCAAUAUGUAGCUAGCUUUAACCUUAGUAUUUGAAUAUUUGAGAUUUCGGAGUGAGGAAAUAGUUGAAACAGUGUCCAUAUAUCCUUCAUGAUGUUGCUGGAUGACACUAUAUUUCACAUGAAACAAUUAUAUAGCUUUGACUUGGAAGGUACUUUGCAUUUGUGUAUUUGAUGCUCCAUGCUUUUGUGGGCUAACAUAAACAUCAUUUAUGGUCGCAUAAAUGCCAGGAUAUCUGCAUCGUGGAUGGGAUUUCUUCCAUUUUUUUUGUUUUGUGGAAAAUAUUUUUCCUUUUUUGCACUUUCCUUUGGAUUGUGUCAAUGUUCAAAAGCUAAAAGAUCUGGGAUCGUGUCACUGCUCAUGUGGGCAUUUAUUUUUUUCGCAAAUAUUUUUCUUUUCUCUGCACUUUCCCUCAUAUUGUGUCACUGUGCGUUGUAGUGUUUAGUCACUAUUCAUAUAGAUUCAUAUAACAAUGCUCUUCUUUUUUUUGCAAAUACUUUUACUUUUUCUUCACUUUCUUUCUCUGCAUUGUUCAUAUGACUGGUUUUUUUUUUUUUUUUCUCUUCAAAAUACUACUAUUAACAAAACUAAUCACAUGACAACGCAUUUUAUCUAUUGUUUUAGCUUUUAUUUUUCAAUUUCAAUAUUUUUUUUAGUCCUUGAAUGUUGAAUGUUAAGAGAUGCGAGAAAUUAUGUUCAAAAAUAUUAAGAAGAAGAAAGAAAGUCGAAUGAAGAUAUUUUGACUAAAUUAAAAACUGUUAAUUUUAAUAUAAAUAAAUUUGUUUUUUUAGAAAAUUCAAUCAAGAUGGUGAUGUCUUCUAACCAUGCCGAAACAAAUAGAUUGAUCAAGUCCUUAAAACCUUUUGGAUUCAUUUAAUUUUUAUUUUUAGAAAAAUUAAAGGCUAUUUAAGAGUUAAAAAUGAAUUUAUUAAGAUUUUUAGGGUUUUUAAAAGAUAUUUUCAUGUAAAAACAAGUUAAAAAUUGACUUUUUGAAAUCCAGAAACUGAAAUUUUGAUUUUCUAAUUAGUAGAGGUGGCUGCAAAAUAAUAUAGAGGAAAACAUUCAAAUCAUAAUCAUAUGAUUCAUGUAAAAAAUCAGGAAGGUGAAUAAUUAUGUGUAAAUUUAUAGUUCUAGCAUCAACUAUUUAUAUUAACCAAUACUCUAAAACGCGUAGGUUUUUCACUGUUGUAGGUUUUUUUUUUUGGCGCUUUUGUUUCUUCUUCUUUUUUAUAUGUUUUUUUUUCUUUUUUUUUAACCCAAAAUUGGCUUUUUUCUUUUUUCUAAAAUCCUCAUCUUCUACAUAUAAUUCUUUAAGGCAGUCAAAGACUAUGACUUCAGCCCGCAUAGUGAUGAGCAGAGACACUUUCCUGCUUAAUGCAUCAGCCAUUUUAUUCAGCUGCCCUGACUUGUGCUUUAAUGUGAAGGUGAAUCGCUGGAUGAAGGCAACCCAACGAGCAUGCAUUCGGUUCACGUUGCUUUGACUGUUAAGGAAUUUUAGUGGUUGGUGAUCUCUGAAUAAAAUAAACUCCCUUUGCACUAAGUAAUGUUCCCAAACUUUCAGAACUCGAAAUACAACAUAAAACUCGAGUUCAUAGGUGGACCACUUUUGGCGAGCCUCACUAAGUUUCUCACUAUAGAAUGCAAUGCGUCUACCUUCUUGAGAUAGAACAACACCAACGCCAAUGAUAGAAGCAUCGCAAUCUACCUCAAAUAGUUUAUCAAAAUCUGGUAGUGCUAAAACUAGGGCAGAAGAUAACUUCUCUUUAAUCAGUGCAAAACUAUGCUCUGCCUCGGUUCACCAAUGGAAUUUUUCUUUUUUCAUACAUUCAGUGAUAGGUGCAACAAUUCGGCUAAAAUCUCUGACGAAUCGUCGGUAAAAUAUGGCUAAACCGUGAAAGCUACGGACGUCACUGACAUUUUUCGAGGUAGGCCAAUCCCGAAUGGCUUAGAUUUUUUCUUCAUCGACUUUAAUCCCAUCAGCACUCACAAUAAAUCCCAGAAAUAACAAACUACUAGUCAUGAAUCUGCACUUCGUUAAAUUAACAUAUAAUUUGUUUUGCUGCAAAACUGUAAUACUUUUCGCAAGUGAUCAAGGUGAUCAGAUUCACACCGGCUAUAACUCAAUAUGUCAUCGAAGUAUACUAUAACGAAGUGGCCAGUAAACGGUUUGAGUACCUAAUUCAUUACCCGCAUGAAAGUACUUGGAGCAUUGGAUAGUUCAAAUGGCGAGUUUAUUAAAUUUGUUUUUCCUUUUUAGCUUUUCCUUUGGGUCGUGUCAAUGUUCAAAAAGUAGAAGAUGUUAAAUUGUGUCACUGUUCAUUGUUCGAUUCAUGUGAAUAUCUCUGUUUUUUCCCCCGCAAAUAUUAUUCCUUUUCUGCACUUUCACUAGGAUUUUGUCACUUUCAAAAGCUAUAAGAUCUGGGAUCGUGUCACUAUUCAUGUGAACAUUUAUUUUUUCGCAAAUAUUUUUCUUUUCUCUGCACUUUCCCUCAUAUUGUGGCACUGUGUAUUGUAGUGUUUUGUCACUAUUCAUAUAAAUUCAUAUAAACAAUGCUCUUUUUUUUUGCAAAUACUUUUACUUUUUCUUCACUUUCUUUCCCUGCAUUGUUCAUAUGACUGUUUUUUUCUCUCUUCAAAAUACUAUUAUUAACAAAACUAAUGACAUGACAUCUAUUGUUCUAUCCAUAUAGUUUUAGCUUUUAUUUUUCAAUUACAAUUUUUUUUUUAAUGUUUUAGUCUGGAAUGUUGAAUGUUGAGAGAUGCAAGAAAUUAUCUUCAAAAAUAUUAAGAAGAGAGAGUGCUUGAAUGAAGAUAUUUUGACUAAAAAAAUAUUAAUCAUAAUAUCAAUGAGUUUUUUUUUUUAGAAAAUUCAAUCAAGAUGAUGAUGCCUUCUAACCAUGCCGAAACAAAUAGAUUGAUUAAGUUUUUAAAACUUUUUGGAUUCAUUUAAUUUUUAUUUUUAGAAAGAUUAAAGGCUAUUUAAGAGUUGAAAAUGAGUUUAUUAAGAUUUUUAGGGUUUUUUAAAGAUAUUUUCAGGUAAAAACAAGUUAAAAAUUGAGUUUUUGAGAUCCAAAAACUCAAAUUUUGAUUUUCUAAUUAAUAGAGGUGGCUGCAAAAUAGUAUAGAGGAAAACAUUCAAAUCAUUUCAUAUGAUUCAUGUAAAAAAUCAGGAAGGUGAAUAAUUAUGUGUAAAUUUACAGUUCUAGCAUCAACUAUUUAUAUAUCUUCUAUGGAUUGUGACAGCUUCCGAGUUGACAAAGAUCCUGAGAAUUAACCAAAAUUUUCUACAUGACAUUAGUUUCAAAUAUUAGGGACCCAAUUGAUGAAAACAUUAGUUUGGACACCUAAUUGACAAUUAGUGUAUAAGUUGGGGACUUGAAAAGAGUCAACCUCUCUCUACAUAAAACCUAUGGUUCAUCCACAGCUAUUGCUUAUAAAGAAAAGAAACGAUAUAAUUGCUAUUUUAAUCAUUGGGGUUAAGCAUACUCCAUCUCUAUCACAUUUCAACAGCAUUUCAACCAUACUACAUCUCUUAUCAUAUUUACUGAAAUUUAUUUAAUUCAUCUAGCAAAUACAGAAUAUUUAGUUGAAAAAAUAAUACAAAUUCAUGUCUACAAGAACUCCAGCUGCAAUUGUACUGUUGAUGAAGAUUUUAUUUACGUGCUGUGAACUGGUAGGAAGCAUAAGAAAGGGUGCCAUUGUCCCAGCUAUGGUGCACUAGCUUCGCCUUGGCAUUUUCACCCGCUGCCCCCAUGCCCCCAUGCCAAGGAUGAGCCAUUUUUCCACACGGUGCCCUGGAGUCGUAGUGAUUCACGUCUUCAUAUCUGUGCAAAAAGAGAGAGAAAACCAUGGAAAUCAACUGAGGAAACUGAUAGCUAUCCUUGAUUAGUGUAAGUGAGUGGAAAUGUAGAAUACAUUCUAAUGUACAAAUAAUAGAGUAAAUUGAAAGAAUCUGGAGAAUAUAUUCAACAGAGAACAUCCCCAUGAAAGUGAUCAAGUUAAGCACACUGAUAAGCAACAGCGUUGGCCGCUGCCUGGUGCCUGUUGCUUUCCUCAACAAGCAUCAAAUGUUACCAUAAAACCAGUUCUAUCAGCAAUUGUAACACACGUUCAAAAUUGUUACUGGCAGAAGCAUCAAGAGAGCAAAAUUGAUCGUUAUCUUGAAAAAGAUACGCCUAAAUCCUAAUAAAAAAGAAUGCAAUCACUUCAAUCAUUAAAAGUGGAGUUGCUCUGAAGAAAAAAAUGUGAUUGUUUUGAAUUCACAACUACUCAAAUGAAACAAACACAAUUUCUAAUCAAUCACAAUUUCUAAUCGUUUUUUGGUUCGUAGACCUGUGAUUCAAUUAAGAGACGCACAAAAAAAGAAAAAGUGUCUGCUUACAUAUCUGUCAGGUUGACCAACCUGGCAAGUUCUGCAGGCAACUUUCCUGUCAAUGCAUUGAGGAGAAAACACUGAAGAGAGAUGACAUUAAGCAUAAUAUUGAGUAAUAUCAGAGAAAAGAGAGAGGCUACGGGGACCAGCUUCACGUGCAUUAAGCAGUAAUUAUGGGGACUGCAUGCACCCUUUUUGCCAUUGAUAAAAUUAACCAGAGAAAAUGGGAAGAUCAUGGAAUUUCAGCUCGUAUUUAAGUUUACAUUUAAUUAAUCAUCUGAAGGUUAAUAUUCUCUGAUUUUUAAGUUUUUCAAAUGCAUUGUUUAGAAGUUAAGUGUGUGUAGAGAAAGGAUAGAGAAAAAGAAACCUCCAAGUACAAACUCAAACUUGCUUCACAAAUAGCAUGUUUGGCAAUUUUUGUAAAAAAUCAAUUUUUUAAAUUAAUUUUUAUUAUAUUUUUAGAUUGUAUUAGCAUAUAAAAAUAAAUUUUAAAAAUAAAUAAUAUAUUAUUUUAAUAUAUUUCUAAAUAAAAAAUACUUUACCAAUAUCAUAAUAUCAAGUAUCAGAUCACGGAUUUUUUUUUUAAAUCAACCUCGGGCAUAAAAAUGGUCAAAAUUCAUUAAAAAGAAAAGGAUUUUUGCUUCGGUGACAUGCUAAAUUCAUUAAUUGUUAUGAUGGCUAUGGCAUACGAAUUACCGUAACUUUCAACUGUGUUAAUAAUGUGGUUUUAUCAACCACUGUGUCACUGUAGAUCUUCCCUGGGUCAAAUGUUUAUGGGCCUGGGCUUUUAUUGUUUUCUUAUUGGGGCUCUUUCCUGGGACCAAAUGGACCCAGUCCCUUUUAUUAAUUGCAAAUAGUUUAUAUUAUUGUUAAAUGGUGUUUACUUAAGUGGUAAAAUGCGGGUUAAAACUAUAUAUUAUAUUCUAAUUAUUAUAGGAAAUUCAAUACCUUGUGGCAGAACAAAAACACUAUUCAUGCGCUUGCAUUUUAAUGUAGACUCACUAAAUUAAAACACAAUUACUUUAAAUUUGAUGAGCCCAUAUAAAAUUGAAGAAAAAGGAUUAAAUUAAAAGAAGUGGACAAAAUAGGUGGUAAUUUAAUAAGAUUGAAACACAAUUACUAUUCAUAAGAUUGCUGACACAUAGCUUAAGCUUAAUUCAAUUAAAACAACAAUGCUUCCUUUUAAUUUAAUAUUAUAUUAAGGGCACUAUCGUCACUCAUCCUCUAUCUAAAAGUACAAAGGGAUGAAGAACAUCCUUAUUGUUAGGAUGCUCCUACUCCACUACUAACUCUCAGGCACCACCGCUCUCUAAGCCCAAUUACCACCAGCUUUACGUUUUAGGGUUCUAAUUUGAGUUUUUUGGACUGAUUACAAGUAAUGCAAGUAAAAGAUAAUGUGUUAUUUUGUAGCUCAUUAUUAAAUUUUGAAAUUUUAUUCAUCUUUGGGAAUGAGUUCUAUAUAUAUAAUGUCACAACCAAAAAGAGGGACUUGGUAGUAAUUGUCUAAUGAAUGCAAUUCUAUAUAUAUAAUUAUAUAAAUAUGAAUCCACGGGUAAAGGUAUUAACAAAUGUUGUUAUUGUGUUCUGCAUUGAAUUGUUAGAAUUUAGAUUGGAUUAUAUUUAUUUUGAACUAUAUAGCUUGAAAUAUUGUAAAUACAUACAAAACUCUACUAAAAUUUUGUUGUAAUCACAAUGGAUCAUGUGAGCCAUUUAUUAAUAAAGAAAAUAGGGAAGGGGCUCCACGGUGACUUUCAAAAUAUGAUGAUUCAUUUGAUUCACACCUAAUUUUGAGCCUAAAGUACACCAAGACACAAUUAACAGAAUUACAAAAAAAAAAAAAAAGCUCAUAAUGUAUACAAAGACACAAUUUAUUGUAGAUUAUAAAAAUAAAAUAAUUAUUUCACCCUUCUAAAAACACCAACAACCUUCAUAUAAAAAAGGACUUGGUAGUAAUUUUGCUAACAUACACGCACAUCUUCAUAUAAAAAGGACUUGUAAGCUGCUUCUUGAACGUCUUCAGGCACUUUACUAUAAAUGCCAUUUGAUCCUCGAAACGGAAGUAGCAGCAGCAAAAUUAAUUCGAUACUUUAUUAAUCUAGUUCACGUUAUACCGAUGAAAAUUAAUUCGCCAUAAUCAAUCUCCGUUAUAUCUCCAUAUUAUCCUGCAUAACCAUUUCCAAACACCUAAACUUAAUUCGAUAUUUUAUUAUAUUUAUAUAAUCAAAGUAUAAAACCAGUAAGCACCUGAACUUAAUUCAAUAUUUUAUUAUAUUACGGGCAGACUCAUAUCAUACCUCAAACCUUACAAAGGGACGAAGGAUAUCCUUCGCGUUAGAAUGCUCCCACUCCACUACUGACUCCCACCAUUCUUCUGAACUUGCAUCGAUUUCUCUGAGAGAAGGGGGAGGAGAUGGCUCGCCAUUUUCAAGCAACGGAAGACAAAUUCCCAUCCUCUUCAGCUUCUCACAAUUCCUUACUUGAAUAAAUUGGAGAGAAUCGCAAAUCAGUUUUGCACUGCAAAUGCUUUUCAGUUCUGGUAAUUCCAUCAAUAGCAGAUAUCUUAACUUGGGGAGUUUGAGAUCGGUGCUGCUUUCUUCACCCAUAACCCCUUCUUCAUCUGAUCUUGUUCCACCUAUUAUCUCCUCCAUUUUCUCACAGUUAUCAACUUUAAUGCAUUCCAGGUUUACGAGGCUUGGCAGCAAGACAAGACGGAACAACUUCUUCAUGUUCUUACAAUAAUAACAACUAAACUCUUUAAGACCAAAAAAUAUUCCACUAUAAGAUGGAGAUGGUGGUGGAGCAGAGCAGAACCAAGAAGAUGAAACCAAGCUCUCCAUGCUAUUGCAACGAGUAAUGUUGAUAGCCUCCAGUUCAGUUGCAUUCUUUAUUAGAGACCAAAAAUCGCAUAAACUUGUUGCAUCAUCAUAAUUAUCAAUGCCUAGUUGUUGAAUGUCCUUCGAGAACAUGACCUGAAAAUCUUUGUCUCUGUCGAAACUCCAGUUGCCCAAAACAAUGCUUUUCCUUCUGAAAUCACCAAGAUAACGAAAUAACACUUAUCCAGUAGUCCUACACAAAUUCGGUAUCUGGUUAGUGAUUUGGUUUCAUCCCGAGUUUUGAGAUACUCCACGUAGUCUAAGUAACCUUCAAAAUGGCAUACCAAAGUUUCCAACUUCCUCAAGCAUCCCACUUCCUUUCCUUUAACUGUUAUCGGCAGUCCUUUUCUAUUAUCUUUGGUAGUAUGAGGAAAAGGCCAGUCCUCCAUUACAAAGACUUGCAGGAGAGAGAGCUUAGGUAACAACCCACUAGGAAACUCCUUUUCACCACAUCCAUUCAUUUAAGAUACCUCAGGUUGCAUAGACAUUCCAUGCCUUGAGGAAUCUUUUCAAGUGCCCAAGUACUAGAGAGAUCUAACUUCUUCAGUGCCUUGAGCUUUUCUAAUGACGGCACAUGCCUUAACAUCUUACAACCAAUGAGCAGUAAUGCAGUGAGACUCACCAAUUCAGAGACAGAAUCAGGUAGUUUUGUGAUAUUUGUACGAGACAGAUCAAGAACCUUAAGCUCAUGCAACUGCUCAAAAAAUAAAUCUGCAAUAAAUUGCAACUUUGAAUUGCCGCAUAACAGUAGAGUUGAAAGACUGGGACACCUCGGUGAAUGCGUGGAAGGAAUUUCUUCAAUCUGGUUUUGCAUGAGUGAAACUCUAGUAAGAUUCUCUGUCCAGUCCUCUGCACCCGGCACUUCUCUUAACCGUGCACCUGCUUUAACCAUGCCUUGAGAGUUCUCUUCCAGUAUUUGGAUGGCCAUAUCCCUAAUCAAGUCAUGCAUCUUGACACAUCUUAAACGACCGCCCAAUUUAACUUUUUCCAAAAGGCAGGCACUUUCAAGUUUAUUAAGCAUCGAGUGGCCUUUGUCAAAUUCUGCCUUCCUACUCAGGCCUUUUAUCACUCCCUCAUCAAUCAAAUAAGCUAUCAAAUCCCCUCUAGAGAUCUCGAAGUCUUCCGGGAAUAAUGCACAGUACAAGAAACAUUGUUGCAGUGCUGACUCCUUUAAGUGCAUAUAACUAAAUCUUAAUAUUUUGAAUACCUUCUCAUCCAUGUCCUCCUGCCAAAGUCUUGAUUGUUUCAGUUCCUCUAAAGCAUUCCUCCACUCGUGUAUGUCCUCCACCCCCUUCAUGGUUCCAGCCAUUGUUAUAAUUCCCAGAGGCAAACCAUCACACUCCUUUGUGAUAGAUUUUGCAAUUUGUUCCACUUCUGGAGACAGUGCCAUGUCGUGUCCCAGUCUCUCAAUAAACAAAGUCCAAGCUUCUUCCUCCAAUAUAGGACUUACUUUGAUUUUGUGUUGGGUAUCCAUCUGUUGACAAACCUUUUCUAAUCGUGUUGUAACGAUCAGCUUGCAUCCCUUAACAGCUUGGAUAGGGACUCCCACCUUGUGUAGCUCAAUAGCCUUCCACAAAUCGUCUAAAAUCAAAACCCAUUUCUGUUUCUUCGUUAAUUCUUUUGACAAUUUGGAAGCUCUAUACAGCUCCUCAUCUUCAUUAGAAAGAUCUAGACCAAUCCGUUUGGCGAUACUGUUUUGCAAUUUAUUAAUGUGUAUCUUGUGAAACAGUAAUCCAGUAAACAUGGCAGAAAGUGCCUGGUCUUUCUAGAAGCUGAUUAUAAAUGUGUGUCACCAAUGUGGUCUUUCCCACUCCGCCCAUCCCAUAGAUGCCAAUAGUUGAAACUUCAUCGUGCAUCAACCAAGACCAGAUAGUCUUCUUAUGGUCUUCGAAUACUUGACCCACCAGCUUUGUCGUUGGUACUGCGUCUCCUGGAGUCUCAUUUGUGUUGCAUGUAAGCCCUCCAGAAGAGCUAGCUCCUGCACCAGGCUGCCCUACUCCUCCAGUCCCAUUCUCUAUAUCAUCCUCCAUUAACCAUCUACUGAACUCUUCCACACUUCUUCCAGGUGGGUGACCCAUUCUAUCCGCUGCUUGUGUCCCUCCUGCAUCUCCUGCCAAAUUGUCGACUUCAUUAUUGUUUUGUUCUUGUGGAGUGGUUGAAAUGGCAUUAUCAUUAACAUUGCUUGAACUUGCUAUGCUUUUAUGUCUUUUGUUGGCACCAUGCAUAGCUUGAAAAGCUGCUUCUUGAACUUGUUUAGGAACUCUUUCACAAAUUGCAACACCACGCCCUUUCUCUCCUGAUAAAUGCCAUUUGAUCCUUGAAAUGGAAGUAUCGUUAGGAAAUUGACGCCCGCAAUAAAUACACUUCAUCUCCUCAACAUGGUGCCAAAAUGGGUCAGUUGAUUGAACCAUUUUGCCCUAUAUAUAAAACAGAGUCAAAAUAUUGAAUAAAAUUAAUUGGAAAAGGAAAGGUUGAGACUAGAAUAAAUAAAAAGAAAAAACAAUGAAUUUGGUAUGAACUCCUUAAGGCAAGGAUUAUAAAAACAAAGAAAGAUCAAUUUAUUUAUAUUUGGAAAACAUUGAUGAUCCUAACUCCAAAGUUUCUCAAUAAAAUUUCUACAAUAGUUACAUGUCAAACUAUUAAAACACCAAACUUACACAGUUCAACUCUACAGAAAAAGGAUUCAAACAAUAGUUACAUGUCAAAAACGAUAACAGCAACAAAAUGAAGAAGAUGAAGUAUAAAUACUGUACCAGGAUUCAAAAGAAUCUGAAGCUAAUUGCUGAGUGAGUUAACGUGUGGACGCACCUCAAUGUUGAAAUGCCGGAAAAGCUGAUCUGAAAAUGUAAGCGCAAGAAUUUGAGAAAGAGUAGGUAAACUAACUAGUCACCUGUCAAGCUGACAAGAGGCACUCAACAGACAAAAGAAACCUUGAGAGCAGCUGUUUUUAAGACGAGUAGUUGAAGUUGAUGGCAAUAUGUAAGAACAAAGCUAUAUAUGAGUUUUGAAUUCUAAAAUAGAUCAAGCAACACAUAUAUAAUUAAGUUCUACUUGAUUGAUUAAUCUACAAUCCUACAUAUUUAUUCUACAACCAAAUGGGAAAAUCUUAUUUGAAACAAAAUUAGUGGUAGAAAAACAAGAAAAGAAAGUAGGAUUUACCUUUCAAGCAAGAAAGAUACAGAUCAAGAACUCAAAACGAGAUGAUUCGAUUCAAUCAGAAAAAGGAAGCACAGAUCAUAAGAAAGGUUUAGGAAAUUUGGUGAGGGAAAUUUGGAAGUCAAUGGUAUACCGAGAGAGAUCUCUCUUAGAGUUCGUUUGGGUAUGCUGUUGUAUUUAAAACGCAGCGCGCAGGCGUUUGGUUAAGAAAAAAAGCAUUUUACUGUUCAUGGCCCCACUUAAAUUCUGCGUUUCUAGCGCGAGAAAUGAGAAGCAGCUAAUUCAUGUUUUUUCUGUUCAUGUUAAUUGCACUGUUCAAUGUACAGUGCAAUUACAUGAACAGUAUUCCGUUUAUACUGUUGACACGAACAGUGUUGGGAAUUGCACUGUUCACUUGCCUGCGUUGGUUGUUUAUUUAUUUUUUAUUUUUUUAAUUUUUUUAGUGUGUUAGUUUUUUAAUAUUUUUUAGAAAAAAAAUUAGUUUAGAGUUAAUUUUAUACCUGAUAAUAUUUUAUCUAAUUUUAUUACAUGCUAAAAAUAUUAUGAAAACUGUAGUUUUUGUUGGAUGAAUCUCGUACGUAAUGGAAUUAUAAAUAGUUUCAUAGAAUAAUAAAAAUUAUAUUUAUAUAAAGUAUGAUUUAUUUCAUGAUAUAAUAGCAAUAGUUAAAUCCACAAUAUUUAAAUUAAAAAUCAUAAGUACUAAUAUAUUUUUAAAAUUUUAUAAUCUCAAUUUUAAAAGUAUUCUUAACCAAACACAUUAAAUUACUUUUUUUUCAACUUCAAUUUCAACCACAAUUUUAACCAAACACCUAUUUUCUCAAACCAAACUCAUCUAAAAUCACUUUUUAUAAACCAACUUUUUUAAAGUCACAACCACAACAACUACCACAAUACCAAAUACACUCUUACUGGAAGGCUAGCUAUUAAAGUCAUUGCAAUAGAAAUUGGCAGGAAGCUUCAACUUUAUGUCACUUUCUGCUUGUGCUUUCUUUGUUCUCUAUGCAAACUUUAUGCCACUUUCUGCUUUAUUUAUUCACACUAACUAUUAAAAUAUCAAUAAGAAAUUUGGUGAGGGAAAUUAGGAAAUCAAGGGUAUAUUGAGAUAUCUCUCUCUAGUAGAAGCAACUUUAUCAAAUAAGAAAUUAGGAAAUCAAUGGUACACAGAGAGAGAUCUCUCUUAGUGGAAGACUAGCUAUUAAAGUCAUUGCAAUUAGCAAUUAGCAAUUAGCAAUUAGCAAGCAUCUUUAUGUUUUUUUACUCUAAAGAAAUAAAACAGAGGUGCUUUCUUUGUCCUGUAUGCAAUGAUUACUCCCAUGGAAACCACCAUGCAAACUUCAUGCCACUUUCUGCUUUAUUAAUUCACGCUAACUAUUCAACGUGUUCACAUUACACUGCUUCAAAUCCUUGAGUCUACUGUUGUUAGAUGCUAAAACAACAGUGUUAUGUACUUUUUUUAAUUAAAAAGCCAGAACAAUUAAUGAAGAUCAAUUGUUACUUCCACUGUCUCUUGAAACCACCAUGCAAAGGGACUUUGUUUGUCCAAUAUGCAAUUAUAUCCUCGAAACCACCAUGCAAAUUAUUUUUAAUUUCAUGAAUCACCUGCUUUAUUUAUUCACACUAACUAUUCAACAUGUUUACGUACAUUAUACUGUUUCAACCAUUGAGUCUACUGUUAGAUCGAACAUAUGCAAUUAUCAUGACAGUAGUGAUGAUGCCGAAGAGCAAUUCGGCUCGCUAAUGACUUUCCUGUCACCAUUUGCUUUUGGCAAAGAACUGGGAUCCUCAGCUUGUGUUGAAUUUCAUAUUAAAUAUCUUGAUCUCCUGAUGUCUUAAGCAAGGUGUUCCAAGUGGUCAGGAGAGCAUUGAUACAGAUGAUUUAUUUUUUCAUCCAUCCUGCUGCCAAGAGAUUAACUUAAAUUCUUUGAUUUAUUUAAGAAAUAAAACCAUUUAAAGACCAAUAUUAUUCCUGCAUAUAUACAUCACAUUUGUAUAAGAUCACGUACGAUCUAUAGGUAACAACCCGAUUAAGAAUCCUCCAAUCUGUGUUGAACUCAGUGGAAUCAGAAAGAUUGAGAAGACAGAGAAGGAGAGAGCGGGAGCGAGAGAAAGACGGAGAGAAGAGAGGGAAUCCACAGCAGUUCUCAUUCAUUUUUUGAAACGGUGCGCGUAAGCAACGGCUAACAGCAGCUUAGUACGGUGCGUUUUUUCAAGAAAUCAGUGGCAAUUAAAAGUUAUCCCUCCACCAUUGUUAAUUCCUGAGAUAUGCAUGCAUCCCUUCAUGUGUUGAAAUCUGAAGGCCUUUAAGAUGGAUCAUUAUUUCUUCUCAGAAAAAAAAAAGAAAAAGGGAUCAUUUCUUAUCCAUAAUUGACAGAGAAGGAAAUCACUAAUGAGUGUGAUUUAUGUGGAUUCCCUUAUACACGCAGCCCUGCCUCCACCAACCCAUGCACCAGAUAGCGACUGAACAUUGCGUUUUCCCCUGUUUUUCAGACUUCUGCGCAUUGUUAAAUACUCUGUUUAUAGCCUUUAACCAAUCCAAGAAAAUCAACAUACUAUAGAAUUCAUUCAUGACGGAUAGAUCUCUGGACACUUGGCUCCAGCAAUAGCAAUUUCACAUGCAUAUCAAAUAUUUUAUAGCGAGUUUCCACACAGUAAUUGUCAGUAAUCCAAAAUCAAUCAUAUGGAUAGCAGAACAUCAGCAGAUUCUUUUCCAUAUGCCUCCAAAACCUAGGUGCGGUAUCAAGUUAGAAAGCGCAAAAGAAAAAAAAAGAAAGAAAAAAAGAGGGAGUACCUGCAUGAAUGUGUUUCUAAAUAUAGAACUCCUCCCUUGUUCAAACGUGCAGAGGUAUAGAGAGGUUUUUUCAGACCCUUGUCAGCAACAAAACUAAUGCUGUGUUUUAUACUGAUACAUUAUGCAGGCAUCAAAAUUGAAACAUUAAUCAUUUUACUGAUAGAUAAGUCAAGAAAUACGAGAGUUAAUGGACAACAGCAGCAACAAGAAAAUUGGAAUGAUCACGAAAUAGCAAUAUAUUUAAUGACUUAGAACUAAUAAAUUAAAUGAAUUGAAACAUUUUUAAUUUGUCUUAGAAGCAUGCAGCAUGUAAAAGUCCUGACUCCAAUGCGUCCUUGGAAUUUCCCUCGACAAUCAAUAUCUUGUGGUCAAACAAAAAACAAUCAGUUGAAGUAAUGGGGAGUCCACAGCUCAAAGUGAAUAUCACUAACUAAACCCUCACCUCUGACCCGUGGAGCCAAGAGACAUACAAUUCCAAGAUGAUUUAAGAAAACCUAAAGAAAGAAAGAAAGAAAUUAAGCCUCAUGUCAAUUCGGUUAGAUUAAAUGAUAACACAAGCUUACACAAUCCGGUAACGCAAGUCUACACAAUCACAGCUACAAUUUUCCAAUAAUAUGAGAGAAUAAAAUGGUUAGAGAAUAAUAUAAAUUAUGGCUGGAACCUUACUUAAUAUAUAGCUUAAGUUAUUGGGUUGAGAUAGUUAUUUGAUGUGGUAUUAUCCUUAUUUAUUUGAUAAAAAUUAAACACAAUGUAGUAUGAGUCUGUACAAGUUUCAAGUCCAAAGGGCUUUAACGUGAGGAGAUGUGUUAAAGAAUACUAUAAAUUAUAUAUUGAGAUCUUACUUAACAACUUAAGCUAUAUAUUAAGUUAAGAUGGUUUUUUGAAAAACACUAUAAAAAAAAAAUUGUUGAAUGACCGGUUAAGAUUUAAAGAUUUCAUCCUAUGUGUAUCUCCUUGGUGCAAGUGAAAAAGCCAAACGGAUCUGCAAGUUACAGUGUGCCAGAACUUCAGAGCCCUCUCUAACAAGGAAGGAGAUAGUUUUAUCCCGAGUCUUUGUUAAAUAUGGAAUCUCUGUUUUAUUUCUUUAGUGUAUAAAAAACAUAAAGUUGCUUGCAAAUUGCAAUGACUUUAAUAGCUAGUCUUCCUCUAAGCCUAAUUUCUUAUUGAAAAAGCUCUGUUCUGUUUUCAGUAUCUUUUAGAGAAUAUUGAACAGAGUAAUUCUAGUUGACAGGAAAGUGUUGAAGCGUUAGCGAAUUCAUAUACAAUAUUUCAAAUCUUCAAAGAAAAAUAUAAUGAGAAUUGAUUAAUUAAUUUGGUAGCCUAAGUAAAGAUGCUAAAGAAAUUGUUAAAAAAAUUGAUUACUGUUGCAAUGGAUGUCUUUGCAAGGGCUAUGCCAGCACCACCAGCCUCGUCUUCAACGUUAAAAUCUUUCAGAACAAACUUUCCCAAUAUACACAGAUUGUUUUCUUAUUUGGGCUCUUUCUUUGAACUAAAUGGACUCAGUCCCUUUCAUUAAUUGCAAAUAAUUUAUAUUAUUGUUAGUUGUUACAAUUUUUUUUUUAAUGGUGUUUACUUAAAUGGUAAAAUGCAUUUUAAAACUAUUAUAUUCUAAUUAUUAUCGAAAAUUCAAUACGUUGUGGCAGAACCAAUGCACUAUUCAUGCGCUUGCAUUUUAGUAUACUCACUAUGUUAAUUUUUUCCCUUCUUUUUUUUCAUAAAAUUUUAUUUUUAACCGAUUGCAUCAUUUUGGCACUAAAUUAAAAUACAAUUGCCUUAAAUUUGUUGAGCCCAUUAACAAAAAGGAUCACAUUAAAAUAAAUGGAUAAAAUGGUGGUAAUUUAAAAAGUAGCAUGAAAAGUUUAUUUUCGUCCUCACACUUUCAAGUUAUAAAUAUUCAAUCCCUCAAAUUUUCAAAAAUACAAUUGUAAUCUAACAUUUUAUUUUUGUUAGUUUUAGGUCCUAAUUCAAGAAAGUAGUUGGAUUUCAGUGGAUAAAAAAGAAAAUUUUGUCUGACAACGAUUCCAAUUAUUAAAGGAUUGAUUUCGGUGUUAAUGAAUUCUUUUUAACUAGAAGAGUUUCACUUUUCAUUUUUGUUUUUUGCUUGAAAAUAGUAGAGCUGAGCUCAAAAACCUUUGAAUUUAGGGUUGAUUUUAGGUUUUUGGACAGAUUUGUUUUCUUGUUAUUUAAGGUUAUAUACAAAUUUAUAAAAGGUGUAUAGGUGUUUUUAAGUGUAUUUUAGGUUAAAAUAAUUAAAAAUAAAUAAAUUUUGAUAUUAAAAAAAAUUUCAACUUUUUAGGUGCCAUUAUAUUGCUAGAAUCUAAGGAGAAGUAGACGAUCACCUACUCUGUUUUUUUUUCUAAACCAUUAUGUUUUUAAGUCAUCUGACAUUUACCAAAUAGAUAAAAAAUUAGUCAGCCAAGUAGUGCGGGCUUGGGCCUUUAUUCCAAUUGAAUUUCUUGUUCUUUUUUUUCCUUUUCAUGUUAGGCUUCUAUUGAAUUUUUUGUUGGUGUUUUUGACAAAUUUUAUGAAUGUUUUUUUAAUGUUAGGCUUCUAUUCGAUUUUUUAUUGGUUACCUUAACAAAUUUUAUGAUGUUUUAUUUUUUAAUGUAAUACAAUUUAAUUUUUACUUAGUUUAUAAAUAAAAUUUUAACAUAUUUUUUAAAUAUUAGAAGACGUUAUUUCUAUGUAACCUACUUAUUUUUUAAUUUUGAAAUGGAACAAUGUUUUACUAAGAGUUUUUUUUUUAAUUAUCUUUUCAUUAAAUAAAACAUUAGUGUCAAAAAUCAAAGUUAUUAAAUACAAUCAAGUCUAUAACUUAUGUUUCGAGAUCAGAUAUUUGCAUUGAUGUCUAUAUCUAAAAUUCUAAUUUUGUAUUUUGUUAAAUAUAAUAUAGUUUUUACUUGAUUUUCACAUAAAAUGAUAUUUAUUUUUCAUAACAUAUGCAACUUUACAUAAUAUUUUUGAUUAAAUGGCUUUAAUUGUUUUAUUCACCAAAUGAUAAGGUUGUACCCAAAAUUACUACAAUUAGAGUACUAACAAGAAUUCUUAGAUUGUUUCCAAACUUAUCACAAUCUUUAAAAUUCGUAGAUGAUUACAGAAUGAAAAAUCUAAUAUGAGUUGUACGCAUGCAUGAGGAUAAUCCUGAUCUUAAAUUUUGUAAUUAAAAGCCAUAAACUUUGAAGACAAUCAAAUUGUCAUUUAAGAUACAAUAAUAAAAGACAAAGAAUUGUUCAAUCAAAAUCUUACGACAAUGCUUACGAAUGAAAACUCCAUGCAUUCUUUAGAAAGCAUCCACUCCACCACUGUCUUGCAUUUGAUGUUGCACUCUCUAAAUAAAUGUCAAACCUAUUAAUAUAAAACACAUCAGUCAUUAAGUAGACACAUAGCUUAAGCUUAAUCCAAUUAAAACAACAAUGCUUACUCUUAAUUUAAUAUUAUAUUAAGGGCAGUGUCAUCACUCAUUCUCCAACAAAACACCUUACAAAGAGGCGAAGGACAUCACUUUGGGGGAUAACUCGUCCAUGUCGGGUCCCAAAAACUUUACAAAGGGAUGAAAAACAUCGUUAGGAUGAUCCCACUCCACUACUAACUCCCAUCAUUUUUCUGGUUUUAUAUACGUUAUUAUAAGAGAAGGGGGAGGAGAUGGCUGUCCAUUUUCAAGCAAGCGGAAGACAAGAAUUUUUUGAUAUAAAUUCUUUUGAGUCUAUCUCAAAACUUUUCAAUUUAAAAUUUAAAUUUAAAGUUAACUGGUUCGAAAUUUAGAGUAUGGAGUUAACUAAGCGUGGCUGCUGUUUUCUUUUCACGAUCUCGUACAAAAGAUGUUAUUGACUUUUACGUGGUGUAUUAUAUAACUACCCUCGUACAAAUUCUAGCAUUCUCUCCCUUGUACCAAAGUAGCAGUUUAGUGGGUCACUUCAACACCUCACUGCCCUUAAUAUAGAUGGAUUAAUAUUAAAAAUACAUUCUACACUCGAGGGUCCAGCUGCUGUAGUCAAUCGUGUGACUUGUUCCGCCCCCAUCCCAGGUUCGACCCUCUAUGUGUACGCCUGUCACCCCCGUGGUGCCUUACAUAUUCACUGGGCUUGCAGGAUGUUCAGUGAGCCCGGAGAUUAGUUGUGGUGCGCGCAAGCUGACCCGGACACCCCGGUUACCAAAAAAAAUAAAUCAGUGAUGAAGUUAAUCCAAAAAUACAUUUGACCAUAGGAUAAAAAAGAAGAUUUAAUAACAUAAAGAUGAAACUAUGGUUUAUAAGUAAUUAAUCAUCUUAAAUACCUCUAACUUUUGGACCUUAUACUUUGCGAGAGUUUCUUCAAGGGCGAGCCGAAAAUGAGAGAUUCAAUCUGAGUCGUUGAUAUAAGAACAUGAGAAAAAUCCAAUGGUGGGUAAGUAUUCCAACUCAUCUGUCCAUGUCCAAAUCAUUUCCCUCUCAUACCAAAACCGACCACUUGGCGCCAUUUUAUAACCGUCAUAACUGAGAUUUCCGUCUCCUUUUAUCUUCACUUUUCCUAUUAAAAACCCCUUUCUACCCGUUGUUAAAAUCUCUCACCAGGAAGAAGAAAUGACGAGGAAAAGAGGAGACGCCGAGCCUACUGAUGGGUAUGCUGAUACUGCUGCUGCUUCACUUGUUCGUGCUAAAGAUGGCAAUGGUUUUGUUAAAUGGUAUUUACUUGCGUUCCUUCUUCUUCUUUUUCUUCUAAUGUUUUGGGUUGUUCUUAUUUUGUGUUAUUAAUUUGAAUUUGGAGAUUUUCAAGAACCUUGGCUUUGCUUUAUUUCUUUUCUUAUCGAGUUUUUUUUCCUGGGUUUUUUCUAAUUUUGUGUUCUUGAAUUGAUUUUGGGGUUUAAAAUUAUGGGUUCUUUGAUUUCUUUUAAGAAUUUGAGUAACCCGGUUGGCUUUUUGAACAAAUUAUGCUCUGGAUGUUUCUAAAUUUGUCUUCUUGGUUUGAUUUUGGGUUUUCAAUCACGGUUCUUUGUAUUUUAAGAUAUUUUUGGAUAUUUUGUAUUUUGUCUUAUUGGCUUGAUUUUGGGUUCUAAACAUAUGAGCUCUUUGAAUUUUUUAAGAAAUUGAGGUACCAGCUGUUUUUUCAACAAAUUCGUUUUCUGGGCUUUACAGAAAUUACUGAAGUAAUUCAUGUUUUUUGUUUUUUGAAUCGAUACAUGCAGUGGAGAGUGCGAGGAGGAUGUGCCGGUGGCUCUUCAAAGUUUCCACGGCUGUAGCCUUGAUGGUAAAGUCAAGAUGACUUUGGGUUAGCUCAGUUCCAUAAUCUUUGCAUAAUAAGACAAUUAUUUUUGUCAUUUGCUAGGUGGGUUUUAAUUGCUUGUUAUGAUUUAGAUGCUCCAGUUGUUGAAUAGCCAACCGAAGCUAAGAAGAAGCAGGCUAAGAGGCACUAAUUUAGUUUUAUUAUCCGAUUAAUCAACUGAUUAUUUGUUAUGAUCUGGGAAUUGUGAAUAAGUGAUUUGGUUUGUAGAAAGAAAGCAACCUUGACAGAGCCCCUGGAUCGAAGUAGAUUCUAAAAAUACAAACGUAAUAUUCAAUAACUAUGUCUUAACAUGGAAUAUUACUUAAUAUCUAAGUAGCAGAAACAGCACACAUAAGGCCACAUACAUGUUAUACUAAAAUUCACGGACAAGUACUUAGGUUACAGGAUGUCAUUACAAUUCGAGCUCUAAAGUUCUUGGAUAAAAAAUACAUUAAUUCUAAAUAACAUAAAAAUACAACAUCAGGCUGUCGAUCGAGCUCAUAGAAACUUGUCUUGUUACAGUAACAUGACUUACCAUAAAAGAUUGAAUAUUAUCUCUUCGGGUAUUAUUUCUUUCUACUGGCGUUGAUUCUGUCUUACAUAUUUGGAUAACUGUUUAAUCUUAUUCUUGCCCUUCGAUUCCUGGAGGGUCUGGAUCAAGAUGUUCCUAGGGUUAAAAAGAGAAAUAGUGAAACCCUGAACAAAACAACAGGGGAUUCUGUUAAUUUAUAUAUGUUGAGGUAUGUUAUGCCUUUCGCAUUAUAAAUCAAAAGAAUUAUCUUAUAUAUAUGGAGGUGAUUAGAGAUAAACGUUCAGGAUUAAUGAUAAUUGCAAUGAAAUAUGAGUACAUCACAUGAAGGUGGAAGGUGCAUAUUGAAAGAAAAGGGUUAUUGGCAGAUUAUGGUCCAACGGAAGUGACUUUUAAUGGUAAAUUUGGAAAGAGCAUUACCAUUCAAAAUUUCCUCUGGAAAUGGCUACUCGUACAAGUUAAUGCUUGACAGUCAUGUUAAUCUCAUUAAACUUAUCAAGAAGACAACACAUUGCAUUUCCAGGGUGGUAGAUGGGCACGACAGUUAAAUGACAAUGAGAACAUUACUUGUAAUCUUCAAGUGUGAUCCAUUUAUUAUCUAAUACUUUUGCAUGUAUGUGCUCUGCGUUCUUAUAUUCGAGAUCUUGACCGUGGUUUUCAAAGAUAAUUUUCUUGCUGAUGAGCACAAUUUGCAGGAAGAAAAGAGAAAAAUGGUUGCAUCUGCAUUUGGCAAAGAUCAAAGUGGGGGUUCAGCUACUUGUCUCACCGUGGAAGAUCUCAAAUAUCUGUUCAUGGUCUAGGACAACCCCCUAAUUCAUUCACCUUGCUUCUCAUUGCCAUCUAUUUCUAACUCAACUAGGAAAAGAGUCUGGGGCAAGUGAAACAUGAAUUUUGACCAGUUAGGAAACCAAUGGCUGGACUUGUGAAUGCUUGCCCAUGUUGUAGCUCAAAUCAAAACCGUGGGGGCUGGCAUGUUUUUGGGUGUUUUCUUUUUUGUUUCCUGAGAGCCAUGACUGGCAUUUUUUUUUCUCUCAUCAAGUGCAGACGACACCAAAGGCCGAACAGUCUGCUGUUCUUGACAAUUCGACACAUUUUUUCUGAGGAUUAGGUGAAUUUGGUUCAGUCUAUUCCAUAAGUAUGUCAAGCGACCAUUAAUUUUUUUUUUUUUUGUAUUCUUUUUUGAACAGUAACGAAAUUCAUUGAUUUAGGAAAGGUCAAAGCCCAGAAAACAAAUAACAUCCACACUUACAAGGAUUUAUUCGUCAGUGAUAUUGAUUUCUUGUGUCCUAUCUCUUUGAAAAAAAAAUGUUAAUUAAUUAAUCUAUGUUCAGUAUAGUAUUUCCAGGACUAUUCUUUCUUUAAUGUGUUAAUUAACUCAUCAGAAGAUGCAAAUGUGGGCAUAAAAGAUAUGGUGGAAACUUCAAUUUAGUCACUGAAAUAUACAUAACUUCAUAAAAAUUGAAUUCUCAAAUGUUAAGAAAGAAAUACAAUACAAAAUAGUAGACGAUACAUUACAUUCAGGUAAGAAUUCACAUCCAUGCCCAUAUAUAUAUUAAAGCACUGCUAUCUUCGUGAUAUGCUACCAGCUGCAUUCAUUUUCUUGCUUUCUGACAAAUAUACUAAUGAAGUUACAUUGCAUACAAGUAAGAAUUCAUAUCCUUUCCCAUAAAAAAGCCAAUUUGUUAUUAGUCUUGGAAACAGAAACAAUACUAAACUACAAAAUGCAGAAUGGUAUCAUUGAAUAUACAGAGGGAAUUUUAAAAAAAAAAUGAGACUGCUUCGUAGUUUCUGCAGUAUUCACAAGAUGAGCUGUCCUAUCCAUUUUCAGGUAAUACAGGAAAGGAUGCAUGAUAAGUAGUGGAUAUAAACCUUGAAUGUACAGUAAGUAUAUUCAAUGAAUGCGAUUAUUAUAUUAGUGGAAGCAAUUAUUAUUAUAUUUUCAAGAAUUUAGCAGCCUUAAAAACUAAAACAUUUUUAAAAAUGUUUGAUUAAAUUAUUUUAUUCAUAAAAAAUUAAAAUCCCAACUUACUUGUACACGUGUACCUUCUAUACUAUAUCGAUUGUUGGAAUAUGAGAAAUCUUGGGCCAUUCAGAGCUAUUCUCCUUUCUACAAUUUUCUGAGAGAUGCGGACAUCCCCCCAAAAUCCGCAAUCUCUUCAGUUUGGAGAGGUGUUGAAUGGCUGUUGAGCUUGGCAGAUACUUAAGAUUCUUACAAUUAUCAAUCCCAAGAUAUCGAAGAGAAGAAAGGUUAGUCAACCAAUCUGGCAAAGCUUCCUCAAAUCCCUCUCUGAAAUCACAUAUUUCCAAUCUCUCAAGGGCAGUGAGGUGUUGCAGUUGAUGCGGUACACUCUUCAGUUUAUCCCAUCCAUAUCUCCAGUCUUUCAAGGGAUCCACAAGUUGAGGUGUUGGAAUGAGUUUAAAACUCCUAUAGGAAAAGCCUCCAGCUCCUCUGAGAAACCACCGAUGGCCAAUUCCUUCAGUUGGGUGAGGCCGCCUAAGCAAUCAUCGUCGGGAAAUUACUCAAACUCCGACACCCACUGACUUCUAAAUAAACAAGAGAAGGCAAUUGUCGUAAACCAUGCCAAUCAAUACUGCUGAUCUUAUCACAACCUCUAAUCUCUAACCUUCGAAGCGAAGACAAUUCUUGUAAAUCACUGAUAUGGAUAAGCUCCCUGCAAUCCCAUAUGUACAAUUCCUCUAGAGAUGCGCAACAUUGCAGUCCACUCAGAAGAGCUCCUAAUUUCAAAUUAUACAUCGACAAUAUCUUCAAAGAAUAUUUUAAUUCUUGAAAUCACCGGGGAUUGAGAUCAACUCAGGGCAGCCAUCUAUAUCCAAUUUCACCAGAGCUGUGCAGUGUUGUAUGCUUGGAAUGGAUGCCAGCUUUGGACAAUCCUCUAUGCUCAAAAACUGAAGAGACGUGAAGCCAUGAAAUUCACCAGACAAAUAUCUCAGUUCCUCACAUCCUGCAAUUUCAAAUUCUACAAGAGAUGAAAGACCACAUAUCGGAAUGCUUUUCAACUUGCCACACCACUCAAUGCUCAACUUUUCAAGACAAGGAAAUACUUGAUCACCUUCACCACCUGGUACCAUCCAUUCUUCAAGACCAUCCAUACCCAACAGCCUAAGUUCUUUUAGUGCUGGAAACAGUACUUCUUCGCUGCCACUGCUACUAUAGAACUCAUUGCCUAUACAUUUCACAUUAGGCAUUCCACUCAUCUCUAGAAUCUCAAGGCGAGAAAAACAUCCAAGUAUUGGGAGUUGUCUGCAGUUGCUGCAAUCUUUCAAUCUCAGCACCAUUAGAUUAUUGAGCUGCAACUUAGACAUCCAUGAUGGGAACUUUUCACCCCAGUAACCCUCAAUUGUUAAGUUUCUUAUGUCUGGGUGAGGCUGCAGGACAUCCAGCACAUCCUCGAUGUUAGCAUUGCUGUUACCAUCAUCAGUCCAUUUAAACACCAAUUUGUUCAUUCUUUUUUCACGCAGUUUUGCCUUCUCGGCAUCUUCUCUGUCUCUCACUCGCUCAAGACACCAUAUCUCCAAUUCUCCUCUUAGCUCAUUCAAACAUCUCAGCUCUUCAAUUUUAUGAUCUGACCCACAACGAAAUUGGCAAGUUUGUAGACGUGUUAAGAAGCUCACAUCAGCUGGCACUAGGUUUUUAUCAUUAAAAUGAAGGUGUCUCAAGCUGACUAAAUUUCUCAUUUUCUGGGAAGCUUUUGAAGCCGAAAACAAUCAGUGAAUCUUAAUGUUUCCAAAUGGUAGAGCUUUGUGAUGGAUUCUGGUAAUGCUUUGAUAUUUGUAUGUGAGACAUCAAGAUAUCUCAAAUGUCUCAGCUUGCAAAUUGAAUCUUGUAAUUCUGUGAUAUUAGACCGUUGCAAUUUGAGAGUUCUCAAGCUUUUGAAUUUCCAAGACUGAUUCAAUACAUCAACCAUUGAGAAAACAGUACGCAACUUUCUAGCAUCAACCGCUUGAAAUGUUGACUCAACAUCCCCACAAGAAAUGAGAUUGAGAUGAAGAACAUGGAGAUGCACCAUAACAGCCGAACCCGGCUCUGGAUUUAACGUUUCUGCUUUUGAGACCUGUAAUGCAAGAUCAUGCACAAGAUCAUGCAUCUUGCAACUUGUUACCAUCCCAUACUCAUUCCUUUCAACAUCUUGAAAAAGGGAAUUUGCAAGCAAGUCAUUGAAAUACUUGUUGCCCAUGUCUUCCAUCCUCUGAUUUGAUGGCCCAAGAAAACCUUCACCCAUCCAAAGUUGAAUUAGCUCUUCCCUCUUCCCUUCAAUUCAAUUUCAAAAUCUUUAGGAAAAAUGGAACAGUAUGCAAAACAUUUUUUCAGUGAUGGAGAUGACAGGUGAUCAAAACUGAAUCUCAAUAUAUCCAAAGCUUCAUUUCCAUCAGUGGAAUGCCAGAAUCUAUUGCUUAGAAUUGACUCCCACUCCUUUGUCUCCUUUUGGCGCAGUGUUCCUCCCAAAACAUUAGCAAGCAAUGGAAGCCCUCCGCAUUUCUUUGCAAUCUCUUUUCCAAUAGAUUCCGAGUCUGCAGCUAAUGGUGCUCCUCCACCCCACUCACUUUUUGCUUGAUAAUGGACCAACAUUCAUCAUCUGAUAGUUUUUCUGGCUCGAGCUGAAUCCCAGGAGAAGUCUCCAUCAUGCUUGCUACUUCCUUAAUGCGGGUUGUAACAACAACAGCAUUCCCAUUUUUGCUUUUAAUUUUUAACAACCCAUCCUUCAAACCAUUCCAUUUAUUACGAUUACGAUUCCACACAUCAUCGAGAACAAGAAGAAAUGUUUUAUUUUCCAGCUGUUUCUUAAGGUUUUGAAGAAUUGCAUCAAUAUUCUCCAACGCCCCCGUAGUUUUAUCUAUCGUUUGCAACAUUUCUCGUAAAAUCUUCACUUCAUCAAAAUGAUUAGAGACACAAACCCAUAUUGUUUCAUCAAAAAGCUUUCUUUCCUUGACUUCUUUAUAAACAUUCUUUGCUAUAGUAGUCUUUCCGAGGCCAGCCAUCCCCACUAUAGGAACAACCGAAAGGACAUGUUUGGAUUCGGUCAGCCAUUCCACAACUUUAGAGACAUCAUCCUCCCUUCCUACUACAACUGCUGAGGUGUCAGCUGAGCUGUCAAGGAAGGAAUCUGUCUGCCGGGGUGGAUCUCGCCUAACUUCAGGGCGAUUUGCCAAUCCAAGAUCACCGCCCAGUUUCAGGAUUUCAUCUAAGGCUCCAUGGAUCCUCUUCACUUUAUGACCCAUUUUCCAACGGCAUACAAUAGGGUUGUGGAGUGAAACAAAAUCACAUACCUUUCGCUUCUGUUCAUAAUCAAACUCGUCUAGAACAUCUUCAGCAUCAUGAGCUACAUCUUGAAGCUUAUCCAGCCAACGCUUCACACCAUCUUCUGCCGCUGGCCUUGUUGCUGCAUCUAGCAAAACAGCUUGAAUCAUGGUCAAAGAAUCUACGAGCUUUUGCAGCUGUCCAUUCAAUCCCCAAGCAAGUCCGAUCCCUUCAGCAGCUAUGGAAAUCAUCCUUCGCAAAGACUCCUCCACGGCAAACGUAAGAAGAUGUUCUGCUGCCAUAUUGUCUUGUUUUUGUUGGGGAAAUCAAAGAAGAAAUAUUGAGCUGGGUAAAGAGAGAAGUGUGCUGUGAAAUAUUAAAGAGAAAAUGAAGUGUGUUUUGGAAUGGUGAUCAGAUACAUUCAACUUUAAAACAGAGGGCAUUGGCAUUAAUUGAUUCAGGUGGCAGCAUCUUCCACGAACCUCUCCUGUCAAAUUUAUUAUGGCAAGGAUAAGAAAAUGACACUUCUUCAGGAUGUUUGAAAUUAAAAUAAUAAUUGUAUUUUUAAAAAAAUAUAUGAAAAAUAUAUUUUUAUUUUUAAAAUCAAAAUAUCAAAAUAAUAUAACAUUAAAUAAAAUUACAUGAAAACCCUUUAGCCAAACAUGCAUGUUCCAUCUAACACCAUAAAAAGCAUUAAUUAUAUUGAAAUAAAUGUGCCAAUCAUCUAAAAAGUUUAUAUAAAAUUUCAUAAAUAUUUACACAAAGAAUAUGUAAGAAAUUAUACAAAAAAAUGAUUCUAAAGAGCCAGAGAGCUUAGAGACUCCUGGAAAGAAAUUCUAUAUUAAUUAUUAGCAAAUAAAUAUUUUAGUUAAGAUAACAACAAUUUAAAAAUCAUAGAUAUAUUAAUAAGUUAUUGUGAUAAAAGAUAUAAUGUAAUUUAUUGUCUUAACAAGUAAGGUAAUAUAAACAUAAAAAUUAUAAUGGGAAAUACUUCUUUUACAAUCUUUCAAGCUAGUGAAAAAUAUUUAUCUUGGAUUUGACUACUCUAAAGGGUUUUUUUUAAAUCUUUUGAAGAGUUUUUUAAAAUGUUUUUCUUUUGCAACCAAAUAUCUUAUGUAAUUAAAAUUUUUGUAUUUCUAUUUAUUUUGUUACUAAUUAAUAUUUACAAAAUAUUAUCAAAUUAUUUAUUAAUAAAUAGUGAACAAAGACUUUCAAUUUCCUGUUCUCAUAUUUUAUAUAACACACCUUGAAGUUUUAACAUAUUAAACUCGCAAUUAUAAGCAUAGAAUUGAGAUAACUAGAUAUAAAAAAAAAUAAAAAUAAAAACAUGAAGACUAAUUUUUAAUAAAUUAAAUAUUUAAGGAUAAAGAAAAAAAAUCAAUUUUUUUUUUAAAACCUAAAAUAUGGAUAGAAUUCAACAAAAUAGCUAGUGUGGGAUAGAUUUCAAGAAAAAAAAUGCAAUUAAAAAGGCUCAUAAGCCAAGGACCAGCUAUAUAGGAGACAAACUAUAAAAAUAAAAAUAAAAAAGUAAAAUUAUAAAUCAAUAAAAUAGUGAGGGAUGAAUUUUUUAAAAAAAUUGUAUUAAAAAAGUCUCCAAAACAAAAAAAAAAUUGAAAUAAAAAAAUGAUAAUCAAAUUUGAUACAAAAAUAUUUUGAAAUCAAAUAUAAGGGAUUAAAUUGAAAAUAAAAUUUAAUUAGAAAAAGAAUAAAAAAAGAAAGAAUAAUUAAGAGAAUGUUAGGGAUGAAAGUGAAGAAAAAAAUUAAUAAAAAAAAUAUAAUAAUUAAAGGUAUAAAAAAUAAAUUAAAUACCAAAAAACAGAGAAGAUAGAAAAAAUAGAGAGGAGAAGAUAAAAGUUGGCCGAGGCCAACCACACAUCUGGCACGCCACUUUCAAAGCCACCCCUAAAAGGUUUACAUCUGUUCAUUUUGAAGGUGCAAAGACAUUUUUGUUCCCAGUGAAUAACACAAUGACGAAUUUGUCAAAUAAAAGAAGACAAAAAUACCUCCAGAGCAAGCUUAAGUAUUUUUGCUAGGAGGAUAAAAAAAUAAUUACAGUAUUAUGAUGAACAUUACAAUGUGUCCCAGUGCUACAAGAAUUUUACAAUGGCAAUCAGUUUUUUUUUGUAAUAUUUAAAACUUUUCACAUUCUUAGUUAGAUCUUCUUCAUCUGUUCCCAUUAGACACUGAUUGCAUCACCAUCUCAGAUUGUAGCUGUUGGAGCAGAACCUGUAACAAGUCGUUUUGACAUAAUUAAAUGGAGCAGUUCUUUCAUAAUUUGUGAGAUGGGUAUCUUCCUAUUCUUUAUGCGUUUGGUAUUUCAAUUCAUCCCCAAAUAUUAUUCUUUGUGCUUCCCAUGCUCUUGACCCCAUUGCUUUUUCUGGUGACUGUAGUUGGAGGUUAUGGAGAUCUUCUAGUUUGGAAGCCACUAUUGCACAUAAUUUAAAAGUCAUUUUAUUAAUUAAAAGAUGCGUAAAAGAGCCUGCUAUUGACUAUCAGAAGAAAAAAAAAACAGUUAAUUAUCUUAUUAAGUGUGUGAAAGAGAGCAAAAGAAUCCUUUUUUUUUGGAAAAGAUGCGGAGACAAAAACAGAUGAGAGAAAUUAAAUGAAAUCAAUGGAAUUGAAGGUAUCUUUUCAUUGCUGCGAUAUAUAGGGUUGUGACGUUAAGCAAAUAAACUGGCUUAGACAAUUACUGAAGAAUGGUUUCUCAUUGCCUGCCCUCCAAGCAUUACACGUUACAGUAUUUAUACUAGUUGCAUCCCCGCGCCAUGUCGCGGGUCAAUUAUUUUUUACAUUUAAAAAAAAACCAAGAUUUAAAAGUGUUAGGUUUUUUUGUAAAGUUAUACCUAAAAGUCUUAGGUUUGGUUGCAACGCCUGAUCCAAGAGUAAUAUUUAUAAUAUUAAUAAUAAUAUUAAACUUGGGUUAACCCUUAACAUAAAAGUGUUUGGAUUGCAAUACCAGAUCCAAUAGCAUUGGACGUGGGUCUGACUGCAAGGUCGUGUCAUAAAAGUGUGAUAAUUAAAUAAAUUAGUUAAAAAAAAAAACCAACAGGAAAAAAAAAACUAAAGAAGAAAAAGAAAAAAUAUAUAUGAAUUAACUGGGUUAACCCUUCAAACCAGGUUAACCCGUCAUACCUUGAAUUCGCAUCGUGAAAGUUUGAUAAUUAAAAAGGAAAAAACAAAUUAAUGGGUUAACCCAGAAUUAACUGGGCUAACUCAUCAAACCAGGUUAGCCUGUCAAAUCCAGAAUCUAUAUCAUGAAAGUUUGAUAACUAAAUAGAAAAAAAAUUAACAUUAACAAUUUAAAUUAAACAAAAAAAAUUAAUUAAAAAAAAAAAACAAAUGGCAUCAACCUUUUUAUUGUGGACUGCACUGAGCAAUCCACAGUCAAAGACAUAAAAACAACAAAAAAACAAAAAGAAAAAUUAAAGACAAGAACUACUUAGAAAAAAAAUUAAUAUUAAUAAACUAAAUUAAUUAAAUAAAAUUAAUUAAAAAGAAAAAAUAAAAGAAAAAAAAAACCUUCGCAAAGACUCCUCCACGGCAAACGUAAGAAGAAGUUCUGCUGCCAUAUUGUCUUGUUUUUGUUGGGGAAAUCAAAGAAGAAAUAUUGAGCACGGGAAAGGGAGAAGUAUGCUGUGAAAUAUUAAAGAGAAAAUGAAGUGUGUUUCGGAAUGGUGAUCAGAUACAUUCAACUUUAAAACAGAGGGCAGUUGGCAUUAAUUGAUUGAUUGCAGGUGGCAGCAUCUUCCACGAACCACUACUGUCAAAUUUGCAAUGCCAAGGCUAAGAAAAUGACCUUCCUUCUCAUGUUGUGUGUCCAAAUCCAUCCAAGCCUGUAGACAACUUUAAAGCGGAGGGUCAUUUUCAUCUUCGCAAAUCCAGCCAAGCCCUCUCCCUAUAUUGUUUUUGAAUUCCCCCUCCAAAAUGUUUCUUCAUUUCAUCUUCUCAUUUUCUAAUCAAUGUGAUGAGAUUGCUCACCAGAUCUGUCAUAUGAAGUCAUACAUCAACCACUUCUUCAAGGCUCUCGUUUUAUAUUAGUGAAAUGGGAAAAAAAUUACCAGUGAACAACGUAAUCUUCCCUGGCAACUCAUUGUAUCCAUGAAAAGGAUACGGUGAAAUGAAGCUUGUUUUGGACUGAUGAGAAAUGAAAAGGAUCCUUCUUCUUUUCUGCUAUCUUUCCAUUUUCUUGCCUUCUUGUUGCUGCCUCCGGUUCUGGGUUUUUUCUGGGUUCUGUGUGCGCUUUUUUUCCUUUCUAUGUUGCUGCCUCCUAGCUUUGGAUCUUCGUCCAGUCCUCCCCCUUAUGUUUUCUUCGUCCUGCCUUUUAUAAGGCCAGAGACCUUCAAAAAACCAUCACCUCCAUGAACGGGAUCGUGGCAAUCGUGGCAGAAGACAUGGUCACGAUUUGGAUGCACUGGGAUUUUCCUGUUGAAUCGGCUGCCUCCGUGCGAAACGGAAGGGAUGAAGAACACAGCUUCCAAACGGCGCCGUUUGUGUGUUUGAGGCAUUUUUUCACUUUGGUCCCUGGACAUUUUAAACUUUACAAUUGAGAUCUUAAUCAUUAAUAAUCAAUUUCUAAUUGUACCCUUGGAUUAAUUCAAUUGAAUCCUUGAUUUAUAGUGCCAUUUACACAACAGUCCUGGGUUUUUGGACUAUUCAAUUUGGUCAUUGGACUUUAAUUUUCUAGCAAUUUUUCCUUGAAUCAGCUUCAAACUUUGGUAUUUCUUCAAUUACACCCCUGAUUCCUUUAAUUAAUUAAAUCAAAGUUUAAUUAAGUCCUCAAACUCAUUAAUUCUUUAAUUAAACUCUUGAUUUCAUUAGUUAAAAUCAUCUAAAUUUUAAGUAAAUCAAUUCUCCAAUUAAGCCCUUGAUUUAAUUAAUUAAACAAGUCAAGAGUUUAAUUAAAUCUUUAAACUUUCAAUCGUGUUGCCCUUAACUCAAAUUUUAAUUCACUCUUCAUUUAUUUUAUUUUUACUUGUUUUUCAUCCUUUUUUUUAAAAAAAAUAAUUAAAAUAAAUAAAUAAAUAAGGUCAAAAUUGGGUUAUGACAGUUGCCUCCUCUUUAUAAUAUUUACUAUGCAAAGAUAUUAGAAAAUUUCAUUUUCUUUUAGCUUUGUGUAGUAAAUUUAUAAAGAAAAGUAGAUACAGAAAGAACUUUUGCUUCUUUUUUUUAUUUUUUAGUUUUGAAAACUUUGAAAACAGUAGACUGACACAUGACCUUUACAAAGAGAUGUAGAAAUCAAGAAACAAGUCAUUUGGGAGACGACCCAUUUUUUUUUUUGAAAUGGAUCAAAUUAUUUUAGGCAACCUGCCCAAUGAUAAUUGAAACGCGAAAAAAUUCCGCGAGUGGUCUAAUUGUUCUAGGCGACCUGCCCAAUGGUUGAAAAAUAUGAUGAUUUUUUUUUUGUAAUGGUAUAUUGUAAUGGGUUACCGGCCCAGAUGGUCACAUUGUAAUGGGUUACCUGCCUAGUAUAGGAUGGUAUAUUGUAAUGGGUUACCGGCCCAGAUGGUCACAUUGUAAUGAGUUACCUGCCCAGUUGGUCACAUUGUAAUGGGUUACCAGCCUAGAUGGUCACAUUGUAAUGGGUUACCGGCCCAGGUGGUCACAUUGUAAUGGGUUACCUACCCAGUGGAAAAUACGAGGAUUUUUCAUAAUGGUAAAUUGUAAUGGGUUACCAGCCUAGAUGGUCACAUUGUAAUGGGUUACCUGCUCAGUAUAGGAUGGUAUAUUGUAAUGAGUUACCGGUCCAGAUGGUCACAUUGUAAUGGGUUACUUGCCCAGUGGAAAAAUACGAGGAUUUUUUUUAAAAUAAAACAUGAUAGGGCUCAAAGGCGCAUUAUUCAAUAGAUGGAAGCUCGAAGGCGCACUCAAAGAAGAUAGGAUAGGAAAUGCACUACCUUUGAUGGUCGAGGGCUCGAAGGCGCGCUCGAAUGGAGCUAGGAUAGAAAUGCACUACCUAUAAUGGUCGCUCGAAGGCGUGCUCAAAAAGAAAUAAGACAAGGGCUCGAAGGCGCGCUCGAAUGGAGGUAGGAUGCACUACCUAUGAUGGUUGAGGGCUCGAAGGCGCCAUAAAAAGAACUCAAAAGGAGGUAGGAUAGGAAAUGCACUACCUCAGGAGUGGAAACUGAAAGGUGGUGGAAAAAUAGAGAGAUUUUUCAAGUGGCCUAAUUCUCAUAGGCGGCCUGCCCGGGUUGAAAAAUUCUUAAAAGUGAAAAUUUUUCAAAAGCAAUUUCAAUGUUUGCCAUUUCAAGUUGGCCUUCCGCUUGAUGGAUUCCGUUAGAAUUUUCUCUAAUAAAAUUUGCAAAACUCAUUGUCUAAUGUCUCAAAGUUUAAACGAUAUGCAUGCACUUUACCUGAUUUGAAAUACAGGCCCCCAUUUCUUCUUAAUCUUCUCGUUGCUUGGCUGGUGAGAUCUUGCUAUCUGAUUUGAGUCAUCUUUGUCGUUUAACUUUCUAGCCCACUCGAGUUGGCCCAUGUAAGUCUAUUUCCAAAUUUGUUUGCACAACUCAGCAUUUGUGGUGCUCAUCGUGACCCACUUGCUUGCUAAAGAUUUUUUGAUUCGUCAAAUAAUUUGAGAGGACCACUCAUUACUCAUCGUUUCACUGCUAGAAACAUUCAUUGUCACUUGCUGAAAGGAUCGAGCUGUCUUUUGUAAAUCAAAAUGCCCCCUUGUCUGGUUGAAGGAAAUUACCAUCUCCUUUUUUAGAAUUUUUCCUUCUAAACACAAUGUUCCCCCCUUGUAUUGGUUAUUGCCUCUAAGUGUGCUUCUGUCAGCGACUUAGACAAAUAAAGGUUUUAAGAGGCCAUUCUCUCAUUUCUCUCCUUUUCAGUUUGGUGGAGGAAUAUGUGUGAAACCCGCUAAAUUAUAAUAUGAGUAAAAUAAAUAAAGUAUUGAAUAAAUUAAAUAAAAAGAUUUUAAGUAUUGUAAUUGGAUACAAUAUAAUAAAAUAUAAGAUGUUAUGGUGUGAAUUAAGUAAAAGAAGAGUUGAGUGACAAAAAUAGAAAUAAGAAGAAAUGAGGGCCAAUGUGUAAAUUGGUAAAAGUUAGACUAUAAAUGCUUCAUCUUUUCCUCUUUUAGCCGUGAGUUUGAAACAAAGAGAAGGGGAAGAAUUGUGUGAUUUUCUACUUAAAUGCUCAUUGAUUUCAUUAAUUAAAGUGAGUAAUUAGAGUGAUUAACUUAAUUAAACAUCAAGAGGGUUGAUUUUAAGGUGGUGAGUGCAUUGAAGGAAGGAUUUCUAGCUAGGGUUUGAAGAGGGAGAAGAAGAAAACUUGUUUUUUUCUUGCAUUCUUUCCUUAAAUCCUUAUCAAAGUGAGGUAAAUAACAUGUUCUAAAUGAUUAAUUCCUUUAAUUUUAUGUUUGAUGAAGGAUUAUGCAAAAUGAUGAUUAUGUGAAGUUGUGGAUUUAUGUUAUAAUUUAUAGGAAUAAUGCAAAUUAUGUUUGAACCAUGUUAGAAAGCAUGAAUUAUGAUUGGGUAAGUGUUUAUUUUAAAUAAAAGAAACAAAAAUUAAUUUUCCCCAUUUUAGUUGAAUAUUUGGCCAAGAGAGGAAUAAUUUAGGGGAUUUGAGGUUUAAUACAAUUGUUGGAAAAUAUGGGAAGAUGAAAGUUUAUAAGUGUUGUUAUAUGAAUGGAUUAGGAAUUUUUCAAGGAGAAAAGAAAAAUAUUCACUUCCCUCUCUAAGUUGUUUUUGGCUAAAUGGAGAAGAAAAUUAGAGAAUGGAGUUUAAAUGAUAUUAUUGAGGAGUUUUUGGCUAAAUGGAGAAGAAAAAUUAGAGAAUGGAGUUUAAAUAAUAUUAUUGAGGAAUCUUACUAAAUUUAAGACAAUUGAUGUUGAUAGGUUAAAUUGAAUAGAGACUUUUGUGGAAAUAAUAAUAAUAAUAAUAAUAAUAAUAAUAAUAAGAAAAUGUUUCAAAAAGGGGGGGUUUAUCCCCCUUGAAUUAAAAGUCAAUUAAACUUAAUUAAGGAUAUUGGAUUUAAUCAAAGAAUAUGUCAUGGGUAUUAGAAUUUUACCGGUUCAAAUGAAUGAACAAAUGACAAAGUAAUUUUGUUGGUGCAGAGGAGGCCGCAGGACCUGAUCAACAACAAGGGACCUCUUCAUGCGCACAUACACCAGGUAGGUGUUCAACACCUUUGAGUAAUUAAUCAGUUUAUAUUUUUUAUUGUACAAGAAAUUUUAUAGAUUAUAAAUAUUAGUGCUGGUUACUAGAAAUAAUGCCCUGGUGAAUGGGCAAGCCUUGAAAAAUUAUUUCCUGGUUACUGGAAAUAAUGCCCUAGUGAAUGGGCGAGCCUUGAAGAUCAUUUCCUGAUUAUUGAAAUUUAUGCCUGGUAGAAUGACCAUGUUAAGAAAAUUAAUUUUUCAAAUUAAUGGGAUAAUCACUUGAUAUAAAAUAAAUCAUAAAACUUUGAAGUUAAAUAUGCUGGGUUGUGGGAGACACUCUUGAUAUUUUUAUUUUAGUAGAUUUAUCCCUGUCUAGAAGAGAAUUUAUGAAAUUAGAAAUUUCAAAAAGAAAAUAAGACAAUUAAUUCUAUGAUAUGAAAAUCACCUUAAUGUAUAUAAAUAAUUAGUCCUUAAUCAGUUACUUAUUGAAAUGUGCAAUUGUUUUAAUCAUGUUUAAUGCAAUUAUGUUUUUAGGUACAUCGCACCCUCGAUCUGGAAAGUAGAUGCUCGGAUAAAUAAUUUUGUUAUGUGAUUAAUGUACUUGGAAGAACUAAUAUUUUGUUGUAAUAUGCUUCCAUAUCUAAAAUUGUAAUGUUUAACUUAUUAUCUUGUGUAUGAUGUAAUUUGUAAGGUCAUUAUUAUUAAGUUGAAUUAUGGUUGGUUGUGUGUGUAUAUAUAUAUAUAUAUAUAUAUAUAUAUAAAGAGAUGAUGCAUGUUAAGAAUUUAUUAGUUUUGUUGUAGUGUUCUAUAGAAAAUAGAAUCGAGAUAUUGAAAUAUGCUUGAGUUUUUUGAUGUCCAAAUGAUGGGACGAAUAUUGUGAUUGAUGUUACAAGUUGAGAAAUGAUUGAGUCGAUAACUUGGUACCUAAAGAAUACAAAGGAAACUCUGCCGAAAUUUCGAGAAAAUAUAUAUAUAUAUAUAUAUAAAGAAAAAAUUGGUAACUACGAAUAUAUAUAAUAUAUUUUUGAGUUUACAAAUUGAGAUUGUUACAAUAUGGGUCUAGAAUGAAUCUUGAAAUCUUGUUCUUGUAUUUUGAAAACAAAAAUUAUUUCGAUGUGAGUCCAAUAACAAUUUGCUUUUGAAAUCUUGCAACUCCUUGGUUAUUUUCUUUCUUGGAAAAGAGAUUAUUUGCUCUUGUGUUUGGCAAUGAGGUCUUCGGUGAAAAUAUGUCAUGAUAUUAUGACCUUUUGUUUUUAUAGGUUUUCAGAGUGGAGGGCUCGAGAAAAAGCUCGAGGUUUUGUAUGAGAAAAACUUGUCUCUUUUUGAACAUUUAUUUUUAUCAGCAUGAAUAAUAAUGAGUAGUUUAUUCUUGAUGUCAUGAAUCUUAUGAAAAAGUAUUCUUUGCAUUUUGAGAGCAUUGUUUAUUAUUCUAUAUUGCUUGCUUGCUUGAUUAGAAAAAACUUCUACAGGCACGUAACGUAGGCCGUGGUUUUUGGCUAUGAAAGAAAAGGAUUCAUAAGGCUCAAAGAGUGUUUUAAGGCUUCAAAGACUGAGGAUCACUAUCAACAAUUUGACUAUUGAUGUCAUUCAUAUUUUCUUUUGCCGCUCUUCUUUGAUUUGCUGCUCUCUUUUUUCAUUGUUUUGCUAAAGCAUACUCACUUUAUCUUAGUUAUCACUUUUUCUUGUGAUUUGGGCAUGCCCCCUAGCAUUUGAGUUUCUUGGGCUCUUUUUGCCUUUUGGUUUUCUCAUGACUUUAUCAUCUUUCUUGAUCAUUGAACUUUCACUUACCCUCAGUGUGGGAUGUGAUCCUAGUCAAGAUUUUUUUAUGAAAGAAAAAAAAACUAUUCAGGUUCAAAAAGGGUUUGCAAGGGAUGUACUUAAUUUAGAACGUGAAAGGAAUAACAAAGAUGGCCUUUCUCAUUUCAAGCGCAAGCAACUAUGAUCAAUAAACUUUGACCUCGUAUAGUGUGAUGGUUUAUUCUUUGUAAAGAUGCAUUUCAUGAGUUAUGAGCAACAAGUUCACUACAUACCAUUAUUCAUACAUUUAAAAACACAUGAUUCAAGAGUAAUGGGGUAAGGGUGUUUAUUCAUUUUUUUUUCACAAUUGUUUUUAUAAUUUAGUCACCUCAAUGAUGGAGUUGCUUGAUUCACUUGUCAUUCUACAAGUAGAAUGUUAAAAAUAUCGUUUUUGAAUAAACAUCAAAUUAUUUUUUUGAAAUCAAAAUGCCAGAUCAAUUUUUUCAAAACUCCAAUAGGGAAACUGAUUUUUGGUAAAAGAGAUGAAUUGCGUCUAUGAGAUCGCACAAGGCUUUAAAGAUGUGUUUGUGAAUCUUUAUAAGAAAACUCUCUCAGAAAAAUGAAUAAUGCUAAUCGUAAACACGAUUGAAUGACAAACUCAUUAUUUUCAUUGAAACUUUAGAAAAUAAGUUCAACAAGAAAGAACUUAUGACAACAUCUUAGGCUAUGAAUACUGGCAUGGUAAUAUAUAAAGGGGCUAAACAUUUAGGGAUCAUUGAUUGGAAUUUCUGGAAUCUUUCAAUCAUUCAUUCUCCUCGACAAGGGCAUCUUUUCAACAGUCAAUUGAAAUCAAAUGUAGAUCAUUCUCAACCUAAUAUCACCAUAGCUUUAUCUUCAAGAUAGUUGAUUUCUAGGAGUCGAUGUGAAGCCAUUAGUUAUAGAAAUGAUAAGUGCCUUGGCAACCACCUUCAGUGAAACCAUUCUUCUUAGUCGGGUUAGCAAUCUUACCUAACCUAAUGGCUUGUUCAAUCCUCUCAGCUAUAACAACCAGGUCAGUGAAUUGUUGUACAGAGCUUCUAACCAAGUAUUCAAAGUACGGAGCUUUAAAGGUGUCGAAAAAUAAAUUGAUCAUCUCUUUUUCCAAGAUGGGAGGGUUACCUUGUGCAGCUAACUCACUCCAUCUCCGGGUGUAUUCUCUUAUGGACUCCUUGUUGUCCUUCUCCUUAGCUUGCAAGCUUAAACGAUCAGGGCCCACAUCUAUAUUGAACUUAUAUUGCCUUAUGAAGGCAUCAACUAAAUCCUUCCAUUUUUUAACCUUGGUAUUGUCCAGCCACAUAUACCAAGUGAGGGUAGCGUCACUCAAGCUAUCUUGAAAGAAAUGAAUCAACAGUUUCUCAUCCUCAACCACCUCAGCCAUUUUGUUGCAGUAUGCUUUGAGAUGAGUUAUAGGGCAUUGAGUCCCCGUAUAUUUGAUAAAUUCUGGCACUCUAAAUUUUUUUUGGAAUGACAACGUUGGGCACCAAACACAUCUCAGCAGCCUUUAUAGGAUCAUAUAGGUGAAUUCCCUCAAAUGCCCUCAUCCUUUGCUCUAGGGCAAUGAAUUUGUUCAGAUCAUCUUCUUUUACCAUCUUGUCUUUUUGAUAUUCCUUUUCUAUAGAAUCAAUGGUGGACGAAAUUCUUGUAGGGUAUGCUGGCUGGAAAUGCAUAGCUUGUUGAAAUUCAGAUGACACCCUAUUUGCCCCCAGAUUCUGUGGAUCGAAAUGAGUUACAUGAAUAUCUUCAGGCUGAGCUAUAAGUGUUGCUUUUCUGGAUUUAUCUCUCAAGGACUGCUCGAGUAGACUAGUAAGCCUUGCGACUUUUUUUUUUAAGAUUGUCAACCUCUUUUUGAUGUUGGGCUUCCAACUAGGCUCUUUCUUUGUUUUUCCUUUGUCUUUUUCUCGAACGAGUGUUAUAAAUGGGUUUCAAUGGGGAACCUAUAUUUCAACCUGCUAAAUGUAAAUCAUGCAAUUAUGCAAAAAAUGCUGAAGCAAUUAAAAAAAAUGCAUAUGAAAUGUAGACUCCCCCUUCACGGGAAGACAACCUAAUAGGUAAAUCCUAAUUGUUGAGUGCAUCAAAGGGUUGGUCAUUAUCUAGUUUCAAAGGGUCUUUCGCAUGCUUAGUGAUCGUCCAUGGAAGAUCGAUAUGAGGCUUACAAGUAGUGUGAAAAUAGAGGCCCUGAGUAAUAUCAGUUUGGCAUAUCAACCACUUCCAAGUAAACAAUCAAGCGAGAGUUGGAUGGUUUCACGAGUCUUACCCAGGCUAAAGCCGUUGGGGUACCGUUACUUUCCCACCUAUCCUAGAGUUUCAGGUGUGUGCUCUCAACGUGAUGCAUGGCAAUAUAAACAUGGAUGCAUGCUAAAGCAGUAAAUUCAAGAAAAAUAAACAAAUAAACAUAACAUAACAAACAUUAUAGCAAUUGAUAACAAAAGGCAAAACUUAGUCCAUUGGUCCCAGUGGAGUCCCCAUUCUGAAAUAUAACAUGGAUGCAUGCUAAAUUUAAGUAAAUCAAUUCUCCAAUUAAGCCAUUGAUUUAAUUAAUUAAACUAGUCAAGAGUUUAAUUAAAUCUUUAAAUUCCAAUCGUGUUGCCCUUAACCCAAAUUUUAAUUCACUCUUCAUUUAUUUUAUUUUUACUUGUUUUUCAUUAUUUUUUAAAAAUAAAAUAAUUAAAAUAAAUAAAUAAAUAAUAAAAAGGUCAAAAUUGGGUUAUGACAAAAUACAUUGAACAUUAAGCAGAGAAAGUUGGCAGCAUCUUCCACGAACCACUGCUGUAAAUUCUCCAUGGUAUAUGUUUGUGUUUGUGUGUUGACGUUAUUUUUAAAAUAUUUUUUAUUUUAAAUAUUUUUUUAUAUUUAAAACUUAUUUAGAUAUUUAUAUAUCAAAAUAAUAUAAACAUUAAAAAAUUAAUCUAAAAUAAAAAAAUUAUAAAUCGGAUAAUUUAAAAUUUAUUUUAGAUAUUUAUACAUAAAAAAUUCCUUGAUGUUUGAUGCGCUUGAAGUGUUGAAUAGUGUCUCAUGUCACUUGUUUGAUAGUGCAGUAUUAUUGCACCGUAAUAUUUAAGAUUUUUCACAUUCUAAGUUAAAUUUUAUUUAUUUAUUUUGCUCGCGUCAAUACAUUAAACUUAUAAUCACGAGCAUGAGCAUAAGAUUGAAAUAAUUAAACAUAAAAAAAUGAAAAUAAAGGUAUGAAAACUAACCUCUAAUAAAUCAAAUGUAAGAUAAAAAAAAAAAAAAAUCAAUUUAAAAAAAAACCUAAGAUAUAGAUCAGAUUCAAAAUAGUGAGAUAGAUUUGUAAAAAAAAUACAAUAAAAAAUCUCAUGAGCUAGGGACCAACCACAUAGAAGACAAACUCUAAAAAAUAAAAAAUAAAAUUAUAAAUUUACAAAAUAAUGAGGGAUGAAUUUGAAAAAAAUAAUAAUAUAAAAGGCUUCUAAAUAAAAUUAAUAACAAUAAUAAUAAAAAAAAGAGAAUAAUGACUAAAUUUGAUAUAAAAAUAUUUUGAAAUCAAAUGUUAAAAGAUUAAAUUGAAAAUAAAAUUUAAUUAGAAAAAUAAUUAAAAAAUAGUAAUUAAAAGAAUUAUAGGUAUGAAAUUGAAGAAAAAACUUUAAAAAUAAAAUAAAAUAUAUAACAAUUAAAAAUAUAAAAAAUAAGUUAAAUACAAAAACCAAAUAAAAAUACAAUUUUACAUUUUUGUAAGGAGAAGAGAGACAAAAUAAGAAGGAGAAGAUAAAAGAUGUGGUAGAGGCUAAACCACACAUUUAUCGCAGGCAUGCGUAACACCAUUGAGAAGAUAACGGCGUCCUCCUUUGAACACCAUUAAAGUUUUUUACACGAUAUAAAAAUUUAAAUAUAAAUUUAGAUUGUAAAAAUAAAUAGUAAAAUCAUAAAAUUAUAAGAAUUUUUUUUAAAUACUAUAGGUUUAAUAAUUCAAAAAUCAAUUUAAAUCAAUCAUAUAAUUAAUUCAAAAAACUCAUCCAUGACAAACAAACCUUGUCUGUGAGUGGUCAAAAAGCUCGAACUUGUACUUCUCAUAGCAGACAUGAAUAUGGUCAUGAUACAAUUCCGUUAAGUUAGGUAUAAAGCUUUAAAAUGCCAAAUGGAUCAGUAACGGCGAGUAUACACGCACGUUAUAUUACUAUUAUUUUCUAUCAAUUUAUGAACAAGGCAAAGUGCAAAACAUUAUAAAAUACAUGGCUUUCAGUUCACUUGAGCCAGCUGUUGACCGAGCCAGCUAUGUGUUAAAUAAAGAUGUUUUUUUAAAGAUAUUUUAAAAAAUAAUAAUAUUUGUUUUUUAAAAUUAUUUUUUUUAUUUUUUUAAAAUUAUUUUUAAUAUUAAUAUAUCAGAUUUUAAAAUAUAAAAAAAUAAUUUAAUUUUUUUCAAAUUUAACAAAAUAUAAUUGCACAACCUUGCAAAACAUAUCUUAAAACAGACAUGCCAGCAACAUCUGCAAUUAUCUUUAACUAUACUCCAAAAAUCAUUAAUGUUAUUUUCAAAACUCUUACUUUGGACCCCACCUAGACCAAGAUGCAUUGCAUCCUCACCGUCCAUCCAGAUCUAAAUAUCUAAUGUACGGCACUGCAGCAAUGUAUUUGUUUUUAUUAAAUUCGUAAAAACGGUUUCAAACUCGUGAUUUCACUUUAUUUUACCUGAUUUUAACAUAAUUUUAUAUGUUUUCGAGUUUUUAAAAUAAUUUUAUAUAUUAAAUAUGUAUUGGCUCAUAAUAUAAUUUUAUGAAUCAACUCGUAAUAAUAACAAUUAAAGGUUUAAAAGUUGUUUUACUGUUCAUUUUAAAGGCGCAAAGACAGCUUAAGUAUUUUUGUUCCCCAGUGAAUAACACAAUGACGAAUUUGUCAAAUAAAAGAAGACAAAAAUACCUCCAGAGCAAGCUUAAGUAUUUUUGCUAGGAGGAUAAAAAUAAUUACAGUAUUAUGAUGGAAUUACAAUGUGUCCCAGUGCUACAAGAAUUUUACCAUGGCAAUCAGUUUUUUUUUUAAUUAAUAUUAAUAAUUGCUCCGUGAUAUUUAAAACUUUUCACAUUCUUAGUUAAAUCUUCUUCAUCUGUUCCAAUAAACUAAUUCUGAUUAAUUGUAUCACCACCUCCGAUUGUAGCUGUUGGAGCAGAACCUAAUUCUAGAGAGGAAAAAGAGUGGUCAGAUUUUGAUAGAGAGGAAAAAAUCUUGAUUGACUACAAAUUUGAUUUUAAUAUGGACGAGCUACUUUUAAAAGAGUGGUAAGAUUCUUUGUCCGCUCCUCUGCAUCCGGCAAUUCUCUUAACUGUACACCUGCUUUAACCAUGACUUGAGAGUUCUCUUGUAGUAUUUGGAUGGCCAUGUCCCUAAUCAAGUCAUGCAUCUUGAUAAUCCAUUUCCCAGUACUUUUACUUUUCAUUUUACUUUCCAAUAGGCAGACUCUUUCGAGUUUAUUCAGCAUCGAGUGGCCUUUGUCAAAUUCUGCCUCCCUACUUUCCAGCCCUUUUAUCACUCCCUCGUCAAUCAAAUAAGCUAUCAAAUCCUCUCUACGGAUCUUGAAGUCUUCCGGGAAUAAUGCACAGCACAAGAAGCAUUGUUGCAGUGCUGACUCCUUUAAGUGCAUAAAACUAAAUCUCAGUAUGUGGAAUACCUUCUCAUCCAUGUCCUCCUGCCAAACUCUUGAUUGUUUCAGUUCCUCUAAAGCAUUCCUCCACUCACAUAUAUCAUCCACUCCCCUCAUGGUUCCGGCCAUUGUUUUAAUUCCAAGAGGCAAACCAGCACAUUCUUUUGCCAUAUAUUUUGCAAUUUCUUCCACUUCUGGAGGAAUACAUCCAAGUACCUUCAUGAACAGAGCCCAAGCUUCUUCCAUUGAAAGAGGCUCCACUUUGAUUGUCUUCUGGCAGAACAUCCGCUGACAAACUCCAAAUGAUCGAGUUGUAAGAAUUAGUUUGCAUCCCUUCACUUUGAUAGGAAUUCCCACCUUCUUAUAAUCAAAACAGUCCCACAAAUCAUCUAAGAUGAGAACCCACCGCUGUUUCUCAAUUAAUGCUUUUGACAGAUUUGCAGCCCUUUUCCUCUCGUUGUCUUCAUUUGAAAGAUCUAAAUGAAAGUAUUUUGCAAUAAGAUUCUGCAAUUUAUAAACACUGGAAUCCUGCGAUACCGUGAUCCAGUGAACAUGAGGAUAAGUGCCACGUUCUUGUAGAAGCUGAUUGUAGAUAUGUGUGAGCAAUGUUGUUUUGCCCACACCCCCCCUCCCAUAAAUGCCAAUGCUUAACGAGGCUUCAAUAUCAUUCAUUAUCCACGACCGGAUAGCAUUCUUAUUAUUUUCAAACUCUCCACCUAUUAGUUCUUCAGUUAGAAACACAUCUCGUCCGCUCUCAUCGCCAACAGGUUGAAGACCUUCACGAGAGCUAUCUCUCACAACAGGCUGCAAAUGUUCUCUAAUCAUAUUCUCCACAUCAAUCAUCAUGACAUCAUUGUUGACUGAGGAAGAAGAUGGUUGAUCAUAAUGCCUUUCAAGGCCAAAACACAGUGGAUCUGUUGGUUGGGACAAAUCUCCUCUAGGCUCAUCUUCAUUAACUGUAAGCCUCUCAGGAGAGCCACCUCUCACAGGAAGCUGGCUCGAUUCCAUUAUCGUGCCCUCAAUCCUAUAAUCUUCCACGGACAAAGGUAAGUUCUCCUGAGCAUUUCUUUCACACUCUUGCUCCACUUGUUCACCAGGGAUCAGGUCUCUAGGAAAACUAGAAACCCUAUCAAGCGGAAAAUUUCCAACCAUGUUCACUAGUGGAGGACAAAGUUGAUCUUCUUGAGGCUCAUCGUGAUUAACAAGUGGCCUCUCAUGAGAACUACCUCUUACAACAGGCUGCCCAGUUACUCUCUCCAGAUGUUGCCCUUGUGGUGCCACAUUGUCGACUUCAACAUGUAAGCUAGCAGGUAAUGGACCUCCAGAAGAGCUAGCUCCUGCACCCGGCUGCGCUACUCCUCCAGUCCCAUUCUCUAUAUCAUCCUCCAUUAACCAUCUACUGAACUCUUCCACACUUCUUCCAAGUGGGUGACCCAUUCUAUCCGCUGCUUGUGUCGUUCCUGCAUCUCCUGCCCAAUUGUCGACUUCAUUGUUUUGUUCAUGUGGAGUGGUUGAAAUGGCAUUAUCAUUAAAAUUGCUUGAACUUGCUAUGCCUUUAUGUCUUUUGUUGCGACCAUGCACAGCUUGAAAAGCUGCUUCUUGAACGUCUUCAGGCACUUGUCUACAAAUUGCAACACCACGCCCUUGGACUCCUGACAAAUGCCAUUUGAUCCUCGUAAUGGAAGUAGCAGCAGCAAAUUUAUAGCCACAAAAUUUACAGUUGAAACGACCAUCAUCCAGCUUCUCAACACGAUCCCAAAAUGGAUCAUUCGGUCUAGCCAUUUCACCGCUUCCUUCUUUGGCCCUUCAAACAUCAAAUAAAAAACUGUCAAAAGUAACGCAUAAAAAAUGGAUGUUGAAUUAAUUGGAAAAUAAGAACUCAAUCUUGAAAUGAAAAUUUAGAGGAAAUCAUUAUUUUUUAAAUAAGUAAGCAAAGGAAAAGAGUGCAAACCUCAAAUAUCUUACAAAACAUUAAUGCCGUAAGUGUGUUCACAAAUAAACUGAAUCUGUAUAAUUAAAUCAAUCAUUACAAAUUCUAAAAUUAAAUAGGCAGGCACUUAACUAUAUAUUUUCCUAUAGAGAUGCACUUCAAGCAGAUAAAAAAAUUAUAACAACUAUUGAAUAAUUUAAAUAAUUGUCAGAAAAGCAAUCUAAGAUAAAAAUUGGAAGAAACUCGGCUUAUUAAUUCUACAACCAAAUGGGCAAAUCUUAUUUGAAACAAAAUUAGUGGUAGAAAAACAAGAAAAGAAAGUAGGAUUUACCUUUCAAGCAAGAAAGAUACAGAUCAAGAACACUAUACGAGAUGAUUGGCAGAAGUCGGAAAAGGGAAAUUAGGAAAGGGAAGCAAAGAUCAUGAGAAAGGUUUAAGAAAUUUGGUGACGGAAAUCAGGAAAUCAAUGGUAUACAGACCAAGAACAGAAUACGUGAUGAUUCGAUUCAAUCAGAAAAAGGAAGCACAGAUCAUGAGAAAGGUUUAAGAAAUUUGGUGAGGGAAAUUAGGAAAUCAAUGGUAUACUGAGAGAUCUCUCUCUUAGUGGAAGACUAGCUAUUAAAAAAGUCA